rnacentral:lncRNA from 1 species
GCAUGGAGCGUUGAAAAUGAUUUAGGCAACUAUUGUUUGGACUGUUUGAGCCUUUCAAGCUAACCAUGAUGAAAUUUUUAUCCUUUGAAACCUAGCUUUGAGACUAUAUGGCCUAAUUUUAUUUGAACCCUUGCAAAUUUAACUAUCACUUCUCUCUUAACUAUCUUAAAAUUGUCCCAAAUACUAGACUCAUUACUAUUCAAAGUAUUCUUUGAAAAUAAGUUUGGGGGAGUUGAAAAGAAGUAUCAAAUGCUCUAAAAAAUUAUAGUACAUACAGUAAAAUGUUCGAAUUAAAAAAAAAGAAAGGAAGAGCAUGAGUUCUUAAAAUAAGAUGUACAAAAGAGCAUGUGAAAGCAAAGAAAGUUGAUGUAUUGAAGGUAAUUAUUUCGAAGGUCCGAUGCAAGUUGAGUCUAGGGUUUUUAGCCUAAAUUUAUCUAUCUUUUACCUACCCCUAAGCCCAACCACGUUACAACCUUGUUAAAGACCUAUUGAUGCAAGUUCCAAUGCUACGUACAUUAGUGGAGAGAAAUUGAUACGUGCAACAUAUGAAGACAUAAGUUAAACUUAAUGAUUGCAGCUUAAUCUUGAAUAAGGGAAUAAAAUUAAAUUGGUAAGGGUUAACAUGACUUUAUUAGGAAACAUUUAGUCUAAUUUUUUGCCUUUCAUAAGAAUGAUUGAGAUUAAUUUGAAUGGUAUGUAUACUUAGAUAGCAUAAAUAUCGAAUUUCUUGUUCUUGAGCAUAAGUAUACCAAAUUCAUGAUUGUUGGGAAGAAUGUCAUUUUGAAGGACUUUUUCAAAGGUGUCUUCAAAAAAUUCUUUUCAAAUUUGUGCAUUACUCGAGACAACCAAUGAAUUAAGUUUGGGGUGUGGAAACCCGAAAAUUUACACAAAUUUUCAUGCCCUUUUUAACUUAAAUUCAUGUAGUUUCGAUAAAAUUCUUGUCGGAAAAUAAUUAAUUCUUAUAAAAUAAUUAAAGUGUACUUAAAAUAUGAACAUGUUGAAUUUUAAUUAAUUUUAUAAUUAAUUUUGAUGAAUUUUGGUUAUUUUCGACAGAUUUGCACAAAUGGCGAAAAAUGGCUCGACAGACAUUGACAGAAACACAAAACCGAGAAGCAAAUUGAAGUAUCGCGACUUAAUUUUCAACCUAAGAUGGUCCAAAAUUAUGUGUAUUAAUUCAUAAUAUAAUUAAUUUUAAUUUAUAUCCAAUUAAUUUGGGUUAAUAAAUUAUUAUUAAUAAAUUAUGAAAAGUGGUCUAGUUGAGCCGAACUGAGUGAACCGAACCGACCAAGUAAUGGACAGCCCAAACCUGCCCCAUGUGCUGACCCAAAUCAGCUUAUUGGCUGAUUAUUUAGCUUGCAAAGAGGCCCUUGAAGACUUGUUCAAAUAGAAUUCAAAUCCCUCCACAAAUGGUGGCUUUUCUAGAUUUGCCCCAAGCUUAAUUUAGCAAGUUUGAAAUCAUCAAACUUGUCACAUGUGUGGCCAGCCAAGGGAGGGUACUUUGGCUGCUAAUUUUAGCUAUUUUUAUCAGCCCUCUUCAGCUAUAAAACCCCCCUUAAGCUUAUCAUUUGAAACACACCUCAAUUCAUUCACAUCUCUUCUCUCUUUUCUCACUUUCUUCUCUCAUUUUUCCAUUUCAAGUCCCUUGCUCCUGUGUCGAUUUCUCCCCUUGGAAAAGGGUUCUUCUUCAGCCAUUUUGGAGCAGCAAUUGAGUUUUCAUAGAAGCCUUGAUCGGCGAGGACAACAAAGAAUGAAGAACGGAGCAACCUUGUCAAGCAGCGGAAAAAUAUUGGAUUUGAUUCUUGUUCCCUAUCUCUUUAAUUUUUGUUAUUGUUAUGAUGAACACAUCUAAGAAUAUUUAUAUUGUUGGAAUGGUUAAUUUAAUCAGUUUACCUUGAAUUUAAUUCGUGUUGGUUUGAUUGCAUUUCAUCUGCUUAAAUUAUUAAAAUUAUGUCUAUGUUUUUAUAAGCCUUGGUAAAAUGCUUGAUUAAGUAAAAUCAUGCCUAAGUUAUUCUUGCAUUACAAUUGUGAGGUAGCUAAUGAAUGAAUUAUUUUAACGGAUUGAAAUUAUAAUUAAUUGACACAAUUCUUAAUCAGUGCAUGUUUACUCUUCUAAGGUAGCUGAAGGUUAAAUUAGCAAUGCAUGUGGCGAUACACUUGCCUUGCAUAACUUGCGAGAUUAUUGUGAUUAAACUGUUUCAAGGUAAGGAUACCUUGUUACCUCACGUAGUCUUUUAUAUGCUCUUUAGAUCUUAUUAAUCGUUUGAAUUGACAUAGGGAUAUGCAAGAGACUAGUUCAAUUUAAUGAGUAUGUAUAUGCCAUAACAUGUUUGCUUAUUAAAACUGUUUAAUUAUUUGAAUUAACAUAGGGAUAUGUUAAGAGAUGAAUGGAUUUGUGUAGCUGAAUAUGUUCAUAAGUUAGCAAACUACCGAGUUACCGUGAAUUUAUUCGUAACAACAUAAGCAUGAGCUUAAUAAUUCUAAGUUAAAGAAAUGUAAUUAAAUCAAUACAAUUAUGUCAUCUUGAUUAAAUCAUGUUUUGAAAUCGUGAAUUUGAGAUUUAUUUCUUAAGUUUACUUAGUUUAAAAUCUUAGUUUUUAAUUACCCUCUCAAAACAAAAUAUUUUUCUUCACCAAAGUAUUUUAAAUUGCAUUCAUAAAUAAUCCUUUUUACAGCCCCUGUGAGUACGAUAACUCGACAUUUACUUAUCACUUUAUUACUUGUUGCGAUUGUGUACACUUACACAUUUCUGUCGUUCCAGAUACAUGCAGGGUUCACACACCCGUGUGAACAGGCCGUGUGUCUCACACGACCACCAGACACGCCCAUGUCAUAGGCCAUGUGAAAAUAGGGCAUACAUACUGACUUGCACCACACGGCCAAGGACACGCCCGUGUGCCAUGGCCAUGGGAAAACUAGAGGGGUUACUGACUUGGGUCACACAGCCGGCCACACGCCCAUGUGCCAGCCCGUGUCCCACACACGGCUAAUAGACACGCCCGUGUGUAUAGACCGUGUCAAACCUGUAGGGUAUACUGACUUAAUAUUGAAAGGUACCCCAGGGGACACACGACCGUAUAGCAUGACGUGUGUCAUACACAACUGAGACACACGCCCGUGUCUCUGCCUGUGUGGACAAAAAUAGGCUAUUUGCAAAGCCAAUUUGCCACCCUUUCCUCAUGUACACCUAGCAAUCAAAAUGGUACUAUUUCAAUACAUUUAUAAGUAGCCAAAACAUGCCAAUUCAUAUACAAUUCAUGCCAUUUAUAAACCAUCCUCUUAACUACUCAAAUUCAUAGCCAAAACAUACCAAAUCAAUAUGCCAAAAUCAUCAAACUAACAUAACUUAUAAAUGCAUUUCCUCAUCAUCUUAUCGUCCAUUUCAUGCUUCAAAACAUACCAUUUCAUCAUCUCAAAAUCAAGCCAAUUCACAACAUGCCAUUUUCCAAACAAUAAUACACCAAUUGACAAUUUUCUAAUUGAGCAACCAUAUAACCACCACAACAACCAUACCAAAUAUACCAAAACACAAGGCAAUAUAUACAUCACAUAUCACUUACCAAACUCAUACAUCUAGCCAACUAAAAUGGCCAAAAUACAGACCAACACUUACAUCAAAAACAAGUCAAAUCUCAUGGCUAUAUCAUAUCUCAAAACAUAUCAUCAACUCACUAGCCAAUACAUGCCAUAUACCAUAUUUACGAAGUAUCCAAAAAUACCAACAAGUUGAUCAAUAGUGUAAUGACGUUUCACGACAAUCCCCGAGUCCGAGCUAGCUUCGAUUAUCUAUAAAACAAGGAAAAAACACACAAAGUAAGCUUCAAAAGCUUAGUAAGCCAUAUACAAAUAAAUUAUCACAUGAAUCAAUAUUAUUUCCAUUAAUAGGCAACUAUGAGUAAACAUUUAUAAGAUCACAAACCUUUUUCAUUGUACACAUAUUCAAAUACUUCCCUUUCAUUACUUGUAUGAAUCUCAUACGUACUUGAGCCAUUUAACUCAUUCACACAUUCUUUCUUGACUUGACUUUGUCGGUUGAACCAUUCAGAAUCGUUAAGGAUACUCGAAAAUCAAAUAAAGCUUGUACAAUGCCAUAUCCCAGAUAUAGCCUUACAUGUUAUCACAUAUCGAUGCCACUAUCCCAGACAGGGUCUUACACGAAAUUGAAUAAUGAUACCAAUGUCCCUGACAUGGUAUUACACGUAAUCACAAUACAAUGCCAAUGUCCCAGACAUGAUCUUACAUGUAAUCACAUCUCGGUAACCUAAUGUCAUGACAUUUGUAUCCUAUACUAUUCCUAAGGUUCGUACGGGACUUUCGGAUGUCGUAACUCUGUCAAUUCUCGCUUGUAUUUCCUCGUUCAAAAUUCAUAGAAAUUCAAUGACAAUUAAACAUGUAUAAUUCAAUUAAAAGACAUUUAUUUGCAUAUGAACUUACCCUCGUAUUAGGGAUAAACGGACGGGAUUGACUAUUCAACAACUUUCGAUUUCCCCCGAUCUAAAUCCGAUUUCUUUCUUUCAGGAUCUAUAUGAAUUCAAAAUUAACUUAUUUAUUCAUUGAUUCAAUCAAUUCAGUCCAAAGACACAUAUUUAAGUCAAUUUGCACUUUGGCCCUAAACUUUCACAUUUAUUACAAUUUAGUCCUUAUUUCAAUAAACACAAAUUACACCAAUUCAAUUGAAACCAUGUGUGCCAAAUUACUAUAGUACCCCUAGCAGCGCAUAUUUCACAUUUAUUCACACUUUUAACCCCACAUUUUUAUCUUUUCACAAUUUAAUCCCUAAUAUGCAUUUUUACUCAAAAUCACUUUACAAAAACAUAGAUAUCCAUCACUAAACUUUCAUAAUUCAUCAUCAAACAUUCAAAAACACAUGAAUUCAUCAAUGGAAACUUUCAAAACAUUAAUUAGUUUUGCAAAUUAGUCCCUGGGCUAGCUAGUACUCGAUACAACGAUCACAAGAACAUAGAAAUCAUCAAAAAUCGAGCUCAAAACAUACCUCAAUCAAGCUAUGCAAGUGCCGAAUGAAAACUUAAUCUUUUAGCUCUCUUCUUUUCUAAUUUUCGAUUGAAACAAAUAAAUAUGAACAUGUUUUUAUCUUUUGUUUUAUUUAAUAUACCUUGUUUUAUUUAAUUACUAAAUUAACCUUGAUUAAAAACAUUAAUAAACAUCCAAUACAUGCCCAAUUAUGUCCAUUCCCACUAUCCAUGGUCUAAUAUCAUUAUAAGGACCUUUCAUUUAAUGACUCAUAGCAUUUAAACACUUUUAACUUAUAGCAUGCUACUUUUGCAUUUUAUUUGAUUUAGUCAUUUCAUCAAAUUAAGCACUCAAACGCUAAAAUUAUUUCACAAAAUUUUCACACAUACAUAUUCACAUGCUAUAAACGCAAAAAAUAAUAUUAAAAUAAUUUUUUGACCUCUGAUUUAUGGUUUCAAAACUAUUUUUCUGAUUUAGUUAAAACCAAGCUGUUACAGAGUGGACUUCAUUGAAACCUUUGCCUCCGUUGCGAGGUUAGACACCAUAAGGCUGCUACUGACUCUUGCUGCUCAAAAAAGUUGGAGAAUACAUCAGAUGGAUGUAAAAUUAGCCUUCUUAAAUGGUUUUCUGAAAGAAGAAAUUUAUGUUGAGCAACUAUAAGGAUUUGCAAUACCUGGGUGUAAAGCCAAGGUGUACAAAUUGAACAACGCACUGUAUGGCUUGAAGCAAGCACCAAGAGCAUGGUAUGAAAGAAUUGACAAUCAUAUGAAAGAAAUGGGUUUUGAAAGAAGUAUCAGCGAGCCCACUUUAUAUGUGAAAAAAUUUGGUAAUGAAAUAUUUCUCAUUAUUUCAGUAUAUGUUGAUGAUUUACUUGUGAUUGGAAGCAACAACAAACUGGUAAUUGUAUUCAAGGAUUAGAUGCAAGACAAGUUUGAAAUGUCAGACUUAGGUGAAAUGACAGACUUCUUUAGUUUAGAGGUGAAUCAAGUUAAUGGUGCAAUCUUCAUAAACUAGAAAAGGUUUGUGAUGAAGAUCCUGUGAAGAUAUAGCAUGGAAAAUUGUAAACCUACGAGCACCCAUGCUAAGAAGGUUGUUGAAACAAGAUACAGAAGCUUGGUGGGAUGUCUACUUUACUUGAGAGCAUCCAGACCUGACAUAAUAUUUGUUGUAAGUAUGUUGUCAAGCUUCAUCCAUUAUUGCAUUGUGAACUACUACUAGCAAAAAGGGUUCUACGAUACAUAAGAGGAACUCUAAGCCAUGGAGUGAAGUUUGUAAAGGCUAAAAAGGUCAAGUUUCUUGGGUAUCUAAACACUGGUUGGGCUGGAUCUACUGAAGACAUGAAGAGUACCUCAGGUUAUUUCUUUACUCUAGGAUCGAGUGUAUUCUGUUAGAGGUCGAUGAACAAGAAACAGCGGCAUAGUCAACUACUGAAGUUUAGUAUGUUGCAACUGCAGCAUCUGUAAAUUAAGCCAUCUGGUUAAGGAAACUGCUGAAUGAUUUGAAUUUAAAAUAAGAAGAAGCAACAGAGAUUAAGUGUGAUAAUCAAUCUGCUGUUGCAAUUGUAAAAAAUCCAAUGUUCCAUGGAAGAACAAAAUAGUUCAAAAUCAAGUAUCACUUUGUGAGAGAAGUGGAGCAAUCCAAGGAAGUCACAUUGGUUCAUUGCAGUUUUCAAGAUCAGUUGGCUGAUAUUCUAACAAAACCUCUUGGGAAAUUGUGGUUUGAAAAGUUGCAUUAUGAUAUUGGGGAUCGCAACAUGGAGGCCAAGAAGGAGUGUUUCAAAAUGACCAUCCAUGCAAGGGCGAACCUAGAACACAAGUUUGCGAGCUCAAUGUGUGAGCUCGACAAAAUUGCGAGCUCAUCAAUAGUGCGAGCUCUUUACCUUGCAAGUUGCCAACUUGCCAACUUGCACUAAAACAAUGAUAAUUUUUAUUAGGCGUUUUGGUUGUUGAUUAGACUGAAAUCAGCCAAUAAGGAAGCAAGUUAACUAAAUCUAGUUGCAAGUCUAAGCUAAGUUGUAAUUAUUUUAUUAUUAUUUUUAGCUUUUUUAAGCUCUCUUGUUCCUGUAAAUAGAGCAAUCAAUUUUUUAAUGAAAUAGUUGAUCACAAGCUUAUCUUUUCUCCACUUUUAAUCCUUUUUUGCCUUUGUUUUAAUCUUUCCUUCAUCAAAUUUCCAAUAGUCUCACUCUUUUAAGUCUAUGAAUGUUGGCCCUUACAACAAGCUAGCAAAACGCAAUUCUUGGCGUUGAUUUCUCGAGAGUCGGUAGGGGCUCCUAUGGUUAUGUUAGUGCCUGCCCUGACCAUAGAAAAGAUAAGAAUGCCUAUUUUCAUUGCACUUACUAAAAUUAUUGAAACUCCACAACUAGACAAGGUUGUGGCUGAUGUUUUCAACAAGAUGUAUUCGGAUGAUGGGAAGAUGGUUAAAGAAGAUGAGUUCAAGAAACUGUUGACAGCGAUCUUAUGGACCAUCAUGCUGCAGUUAGGGGACAAUCCCAUCUCAGUUUCUUCAAACUGUGUACUACAUGAGCCCCUUGAAUCUUCCUCUUCGCUUUUGCAGCCAUGAUCCUGAUUUCCUAAUACGCGUAUCUCAUAUUUACUACAAACACAAUAAAAUGGACAAUCCAUUUUGGUAUAAUGAAGAAAUUUACGACUAGCUUAUGUUCUUUCUGUGCAAUUCAGUAAAACAUGCAAAUAUGUAAUUCAAUUUGGGACGAAUUUUUCUACAAAGAAAGUCGUCAUCAUCAAUCAACAACAAUGAUUAAAUUCUUAUUAGUUUGUAUACAAAUUUAAAAUACAAAAGAGCCAUAUGCCGUAUUAUUAUUACGUUUUGGAGGUAAUAUAUAUAUUUCAGGAUAAGAUAUGCGAAAUAACAUAUUUUUCCAACAACAACAAUUCACAAUUACAACCAAGUAAUUAUGUUGUUCAUUUUCUUAGUAACUGUGAGUAUGCUCACGUGGAAUCAUUUUAACAUACAGAGCGAAAGCCACGCACCCAAUAGUCGGUCCAAUCCAAAAUAUCCAGUGUCCAUUCCAAAGGUGGCCUCCUCUUACGACUGCUGGACCGAAGCAUCUUGCUGGGUUCAGCCCAGCACCACCAUAGCCUUUUGUGGCAGUAACUGUGGUUGAAAUGAACACUAGAAGACCCAAUACUACUCCUAAGAUAAUGCAGAUUAUUACUCGUCCCACGGCCUUUGCUUGGCGACGAUCAAAAGCCAUCCAUACUGAAGCGAAAAGGAACACAAAGGAACAGAUUAUCUCAAGCCAAAGGGCCUGGCUGUUCCCCAUGCCAAUCACAGUUGGUCCAUCGGUACCUGGUACGACAAUAGUCACGGUGCAUCCUGCUAGCGAAUACGUUCGUUCAAUGGCGCUAUUAACCACAGCUUUGAGUGCUAGUGAACCUAGUAUGCCACCGACACAUUGGGCCAAAAUGUAUAUGGCAGCUUUGGAAAUGGAAAUCAGGCCGGUAAGUAAAGCAGCAAAGGUAACAAUCGGAUUGAUAUGGCCUCCGGAGAUGGGGUAGGUAGCAAGCAGGAGAACUGCAACGACAAAGGCGAUUAGGACCGACAUUACAAGGUUGGGUGUCUUUGUUUCGGUCUGCAAUGUGGAGAUAACUAUGGUGUCCAAUGCAAAAACCAGCACUGCUGUCCCAAGAAGCUCUGCCAAUGAAGCUCUCCAUACCUAUAAUCCAACACCAGUUUGCUUGUUAGCAAUGCAAGCGAAGCAACUUCACAAAAAUAUCUAGCAAUCUCUGAGUUAAUGGCUAUGGGUGGCUUCACCUUGAGAAAAUUUUUCUAAGUCCCUCCCAAAAUUAAAUAAAAAAUUGUAUUUUUUAUUCUUUUAAAAAGAUCAAAAAUUUAACUUAAGCCAUUUUUUAACCACCAAAAUUUUAGAAUUUUAUCUCGAUGACACUAAAUAAAAUUCCUCUCACACUAACCUCCAAGGACAACAGCUGUUCAAGGCCUAACACCUUAGUAGACAAAAACACUUUUGCAUCAGAUUCCUCCUUAAUUUGCCCCGGCCUGCAAAAAUGAAAGAAAGGUUAGCUUGACAUAAACAUAAUUUAGUCCUCAAAAUGAAGCAAACCAAACUUGUUACAUAAUUACGUUGGAGUAGAGGCUACAGGCAGGACUCUAUUAUGAGUAAAGUUGUUUUCUUCAUCUUCAACAAUUCCAUUUCGGGCCAUCUUCUUAUUUAGCUCUUCUGGCUGCUCAAACCCUCUUUAAGUUAAAUAUAUCCCUUUGCUACAUUAGACAUACCUCCUGUUACCUAUAUAUAUAGCCAGAGAUUCGAGAUUCAUCAAUUCGUGCUGGCACCAAUUUAAAGUAUAUUGGCUGCAAUAGUAUAUAUCUUUAAUAAUCUUCAUAUUAGUCACAAAGUUCAUUCAUCCCUUUACAGAGUAUAUUUUGAAAUAUACUCCAUAUAAAAAUAUAUAUAUUUAGAAUUAAUUAAUAAUUUAUGCUUGUGAAUUAUAGUGUUCUGGGUUGGCAUUUAUAUAACUUAAGAUUGGUGCAAAUCGUGCGUAUUGAUUUUGAAUGGAGUUUGAGGAUUGAAAUGGGAGAAGAACAAGCAGGGGCCUUCUUCGAGAAGGUUUACGAUGCAUGUAAUAAUUGUUAAUUUAUGUUUUUAUGGAACUGCUAGCUUAGCUGCCCCUUAGGGUUUGACUUUUAACGCAAAACGAAUCCCUUCAAUAUUGUUAGUUGAUAUUUGCAUGCAUUGUAGUGUCAUUACAGAUCAUCCGUCGGUUUCAUCGUAUCCCGCGGUUAUGGGAUCCUGUUAGUCUCACAUUAACCAAUGAGAAAAAAAUAUCUUUACCUUUUUAAUAUUUAGCACAUUUAUCUGUUUCACAUUAAAUAAAUAUUUUUUUCUAAAUUAUGGUCUAAGAAUUAUUAUUUGAAGAUAUUUUACCUCAUCCAAAGAUUGUUUAUAGAUUUUCUGACUUUGGGAAUGAUCAUUUUGAUUGAUAUUGAAACAACAGUGAAUAGACUUGAUACAUCACUGACAAAAUUUAAAAAUAUGAUAGAUCAAUUAUUAUUCGGAUUACAUUUUAAAAAAUUGUAUAAUAUAAAAUAAAAAAAUUAAAAUGAAAAAAAAUCUACAGUCUAGAAACUAAAUACAUAUAAAAAAUAAAAAUGUCAUUUAUUUUAAAUUAUUUUCUAUUUCAUAUUAUGCAUCUUUUAAAAGUAAAAAUCAUAUAGCAUUGAAUCUUUAGUAAUAAAAAAUGUGUAAAUUUUAAAAAAAAUUAUUUUAAUUACUUAUAUUAUUUUUAAAAAAUAUUUAAUUUUUAAGAUAAUCCUAAUAUAAAUUAUUUUCAUAAACUUAAAUAUUUUUAAGUGAACAAGCUUUAGUUUAUUGAUUAAAGGCAAAUAUUUAAAAUCUAAUUUGAGUGCAACAUUUAUUUCAAAAAAAAAAAAAGAAAAUUGAGUGCAACAUUCUCCCCAUGUGCAUUUACCAUAGGUUAUCGCCUAUUCAUUUCAUUUUUCAUUGGGGAGUUUCAGAUAUUUAUAGGCUUUUUAUGUGGUUCCCUUAAGCCAAAUGUCUUACAAAUGGAAGUUAAUAAUUGAGUAAUGGUCUUGAUAUUUUAAUGAGAUGUUUGUAUUAUAUUUAUAUAUUAUAUAAUAUAUAUAAUUUUUUAAAGUUGAAAAUUUAAGGUCGCGCAAUGAAUUAUCAGUGCCAUAACUCCAGGCCUUUCUUCUAGAGCUACUUUUAUUAGUUUACCCCCAAUAUCUAAGCCAACGUCAGGUUUCCAUACACCAAGGUCACACGCUGCUUUUGACCAACCUCCAAUGGUGGGUGAAGCUUGGGAUGCCUUGAGAAUGAUCAUUGGUGUAUUUUCUUGAUCAACCAGUUGGGACUAUUGCAGCCUUGGAUAGUGUCCAAGAAAAUUAAAAUUAUUAUUUUUACGAAAAACUCAUUUUAAAAUUAGAUUUUACAUAUUUUAAUGAUCAAUUAAACAUGAUUUAACUACGAUUAAUUAACAUACAUAUACAUACACCUUCAAUUGAGUUUAUUGACAUCGAUCAAGCCUCAAUUAUAUAGAACUAGACAAUCAAUUUCAUGCAUAUCAAACACUGAAUAAAUCAAACAAGUGGUGUACCUUAGCCGCUAGUAAACCACUCCAUGGAAGCUUCAUUCAAACAAUCGUUAGUACAAAUUUCAUGCCUCACACAUCGUGUUAUCAAUCACCGUGUUAUCAAGCAACAAUACACCGUAAAUCAUUCAAUAAUUAAACUCAAACAUGCCUAAAAAUUAUUAUAAAACUAUCCAAAAUAAAAUGUCUAAUGUCCAAAAUCCAAUUACAACCAAAAUUAAACUAAUUCCCGGGAGUUCCACAAUGCCCGAUUACAGUCUCUAAAACGUGUAAUAAAGUAUCUACCAAGUCUAAAACUCUCGGAACUCUCUUGCUCAGCUCCUUAACUCCUCAAACCCGAUGAUUAUCUGCACAAAUUGUGAGGGUGUGAGCUUUAAAACUCUCAAUGAAUGUUAAUAAAAAUGACUAGUAAAUCAACAUCCAAACCAUGCUUAAAUUUCAUCCAAUCAAUCGCCAAUUAUCAGCCAUAAUAAUGAAACAUGUCAAUUUAAUUUCUAUAUGCUUUAUCAAUAUCAAGAAUCAAUUAUUCAUGGUUUACAAACAUCGAAUGAUAUAACAGUAAUCACACAUAAAUACAUUGGCAUACACUUCUUAUGGCUUAAUCAGGUGAUUAUACAUUGAAUAAACGGAUUUCCAAACUCCAACAAAUAUCAAAUACAGUCCCCCAAGUUGAGCGGGCUGAAGCACAUGCUCGCUUAUAGCGCCUCAAAUAACCCAAUGAGUGGAGACUCAUGCUCAACACUCCCUUAUCUACUCCAAACAAAUAAAUCCACCUAGAGUCAUAUGCUCACAAUGUCACAAAUAAAUAUGAGUACUUACAAAUCCUAUGACAUGCUAACUAUAUCCAAUGGAUCCACCAUACAUGUUUCUAAUAUAUUCAGUCAAACAAAACAUAUAAAUCAGUCAUUAUUGUGCUCAAUUUAAUGUGUCAAAAUGUUUAUGUGUAACAUGUAACAUAGUCAUUUAACAUCCAAUUAAAUCAAGCAUUUCAUUUGCCAUGUUCAAAAGUUCAAUUACCAAUUGUAACACUAAUACAUGAUAAUAAAAAAACUCCAAUCACUAUGCUCUAAUCAUCAAUAUAAUUAGCCCAAUUAUAUUAUACAAAAUCACCUAAAUACUUACCAUUAUUCAAUAAAAAUUUAACUCUUGUACAUAUAAUAUCAAUCUUGCAAAAAAUAAGUCAUUCAACUAUAAUUAAACAAUUGAAGUCAUCAAUUAAACUACUUCUCAAAAAUAAAUAAAGGUCAAUUUACCAAAUCGCCCUUAGAAACUAUAACAACUCGUUUUCAGUAAUAUAAAAAAUAGUGGUUUCAGGACCACAAUUCCAACGAGUAAAUUAUCAUUUUAUUAUUAUUUUAACGUAUAUAUAUUAAGAUAAAAUUUUGUUAAGAAAUUUUGAUGUUUAAGUAGUUAAUUAAGUGAAAAGGAAUAAAUCGUGAAAGGUGAAAAAGUUGAGUUCUAUGAGUUAAAAGGGUCAAAUGGCUAUGAAACUUUAAACCAAAAGGACUUUAAGGGUAAAUAAACCAUUUAAUAAAUUAGUGGAUGUGCAUGGCAUGGUUUAUUGAAAUUUUGUUAGUUUUUAAAGGUUAAUUUGGUAAUUAAGUAAAUUAAUUUAAAACAAAAAGGAAUCAAAAGAUGGUAUCAAUGAUAGCACUAGAAAGAACAUAGGUUUUCCCCCUUACUUAUUGGUUAAAUUGUUCCUAUUUAGUUAUCUUUACCAUUUAUUUUAGCUUUUCAGUUUAGUAAAUUGCAUUUUAUAGCUCAGUGAAUCCUAGUCUAUUUUAUCCUUAAUUUUUCUAGCUUAUUGCAUUAAUGUUGUUGCAUGAGUUAAUCCCAGAUUACAUCUGGAAUUGUCGCCGCACUUGACAAUUGUCCAGAUAAGAACCAAAAUUUCGUGAGCUAUCCAGUCUGGUCCAACCUGUACGUACAAGGACAAAAUAAUUUUAAAGGAAUGACACUUGUACUAUGAGAGGAGGACAUAAAAGGUGGAGUGAGUAGAAAAAGAGGUUUUUUUCUCCACCAUCAUCUUCAUCAUCUUACUUGGAAGCUUGUGGUCAUGGUAGCUUAAGCCUCUCACGGGUGAGCUAACGUGCAAACUGAAUGCAGACUAGCUCCUAACGGGGAGAUCUAAGUGCGAGACAAGAGGGAAUAAAGAGAUUUAGUUGAGUUGUUUAGGAAUAUAAUUCUCCACUUGAUUUUUUCUUAUUUCUUUCUAAAUGUUGGUGAUUACUCUUUGAUUUCUGAUUGUAUGGAAGUACUGAUGAAUUCUUGGUGAAAUGUUAUCUUAUUUAAUCUUACUUUUAUUGUUUAAUCUUGGGUUUGAAUUUUUUUAACACGGAAGUGUUAUUGUAGUGACAGUUUGAUCCAACAAGCAUUUCAACGGAAUUUGAGUGAGGAUUAGAGGAAUUCAGUCCACUUGUUCUUAAUAGUACCGUAUUGCCAUCAUCGGAAGGUGAGGUUAAUAUGCAUGUUUAAGUCUCAGAUUAAAUAGAGAAGUAACACUGGGUAAGAUUUACAUUGAAUCUUAUUGCUUCAACAAUCACCUAUCUUUUUAUACCUUGUGAGAACUUAGUAUUCUGCUGAAGAUUCAUGUUGGGGAUCCCAGUUUAUCAUUAUCAUAUUUUAUUUUAUUGUUUUCAGUUUAUUGCAUCGACAACUAUUCUCACAAUUUAUCUUGUUUCCAUCUAGUUGUUGCACCAACAUUAAUAAACAAAAUACUAUCAUCCCUGUGGGAUCGAUAUUUGACAGACUCAUAUCUGUCUACUAUAUUUUCAUCAAAAGUGUACGAUUGUACAUUAUUGUUGUGACGUUAAACAACCGAUCAAGUUUUUGGCAUCGUUGCCAGGGAUGGCGUUUGUUUGAUGUUUGUUUUUGUUUUUUUGUGUUUUUGCACUUUAUUUUCCUUAUAUAAUAUUUAGUUUUCACUAAUUGGUUUUUCUUUGUUGCUAUUUAUUUAACUUCAAUUUAGGUGUUUUAUGACUUGAAGAAAUUUGGAUUUUCUUAUCGAUUUUGAUCCAGAAAUUGAAAGGACUGUUCAGAGUAGACUUCCAGAACAAAGAAGUAUGGCUCUACCAGGGAACAAUGCAGCCAUACCCCCGAUGCAACAGUAAAAUGUUAAUAACCCAUUGUUGUUGUAAGAUGCUCGUAUACAAAAUAGGAUUAUACGAGAUUUUUUAGUACCUGUUUUGGAUGAUUUACAACUAGGAGUUGUUAGGCCAGCAAUCCAAGUUGGGAAUUUUGAACUCAAGCUAGUAAUGUUUCAAAUGUAGAAUUCUAAUGGACAAUAUGUUGGACUUCCACACGAAGAUGUGAAAGAACAUCUUAAAUCUUUUUAUUGAUCUAUGUUUCUUUUAUUCAACAAGCCAUUCCUGAUAAUGCUUUGAAGAUGCAAUUAUUUCCUUAUUCCUUAUAGGGAAGAGCCCGUACUUGGUUUUUUAGACUACCUGCCAGAUCAAUUACUUUUUGGGAUGCAUUAGCAACACAGUUUAUUUUGCGAUUUAACCCACCGACAAUGAAUACUCGUCUUCGAAAUGAUAUUACUACUUAUCAUCAGUUGGGUGAUAAAAAUCUUCAUACCAUAUGGGAACAUUAUAAAUCUUUACUUCGACAUUGUCCUAUGCACGGCAUUUAACUAGAAACACAAAUUGAGAUUUUUUUUAUAACGGGUUGAAUUUACAAAUAAGGAAUCAUGUCGACGCAUCAGCUAAUGGAUCUCUGCUGGAUUGUACUUAUAAUGAUGCUGUGAGAAUUCUUGAAAGAACUGCUCAGAAUGAUUAUCAAUACCCUAUCUCCAGAGUUGCACAAGCAAAAACUACUCCAGGAGUUAUUAAGUUGGAUGUAAUAAUUGCACUAACUGCUCAAGUUUCUUCUCUCACAAACAUGAUUAAAAUAUGCAAGGGACUAGUGGUGUUGCACCUAUACAAGUCGCUCAGCAAGUUGAUGUUCCUACCUUUUUUGUGAGAUUUGUAGUGAUAACCAUAGCUAUGAAAAUUGUCUGCAACAUGUAGAGAAUGCCUGUCAUAUUAGUAACAUCCGCAACAAUUCUUAUGGAAAUUCUUACAACAACUCUGUACGCAACUAACAGUUUGGAGAAACUCAGAAUGCUGGACAAAUAUGAGAAUACAUCUACUCAGGGCAAUUAUAAUCACAGGUAAAGGAACUACAAUCAACAAAAGCAGAACUACAAUCAGCACACUCAGAUACAUCUACAACAAGGCUAGACACAUCUACACCAAAAUUCGAUGUAGCCACAAUACUAUUCACUACCAAAUCAACAUGUUCAAGGACAUCGAAAACAACCAUACACUAAGCUUCUACUUCUGACCCAUUAGCAACUCUUGAAGUGUUAAUGCGAGAGCAUAUUUCUCAUACGAAAGCUAUCGUACAAGGGAAUGCAUCUUCGAUUUUCGACCAUUGGAAGAUCAAUUAGGACAACUUGCUUCAAAUCCGAAUACUCGACCACCAGGUUUAUUACCUAGUGGCACGGAAAAUCCUAUUCCGAGGGGAAAGAACAUUGUAAGGCUAUCACUCUUAGGAGUGGUAAACAAAUUAGAGAACCGUUUAUCGACUCUACUAUAGCACUUCAAGAUAGAGAUGGAGUGGUCACUGGCGAGAAGGUUGAAUCUAAAGAAUUUUUCAUGAAUCAAACAAAGAAGUUCCACAAAUUGUCACUCAUAUACCCGAUGUCAUACCUUCAAAACUAUCGACGUAAUCAAAGGUGUCGGCGUAAGCAGAUAUAUCUCUACCUUUACCCUUUCUACAAAGAUUCAGGGAGAAUGAGCAUGACAAGUAAUAUCAGUAGUUCCUAGACACACUGAAGCAACUACAGAUAAACAUUCUUUUAGUGGAAGUUCUAGUAAAAAUUCUGAGUUAUGGGAAAUUUAUGAAAUACCUCUUGUCUAAGAAGAAGAAGCUCCCUGAUAUUGAAACUAUUGCACUCACAGAAGGUUGUAGUACUAUUUUGACAAACAAGUUGCUCCUUAAAUUAAAAGAUCCUUGGAUAUUUACCAUCCCAUGUUCAAUUGUUAAUCAUUAUUUGGGUAAGGCUUUAUGUGACUUAGGAGCUAGCAGUAACCUAAUGCCAUUAUCCACUUUCUGAAAGUUGAGAAUUGGUCACAUGAAAUCUACUACAGUGACAGUACAACUAGUCGAUCGAUUUUCUCAAAAUCAUAUCUUUUUACCUUUAAACUGUUCUCCCUCAACAAAAGAUGGCCAAAACAAGAGGCUCGGUCAAGAAAACCACUAAAUCUGUUAGAGAACAUGCGUCUUCUACUACCACAGUUCGUGAAUUAGAAUCCCCUAGGCCAGUGCAGACAAAUGAGCCAGUAAUCAUUUUGAAUAAACAAUAAAUGAAUGAUUUCACAACAAUAUACUGAAGCAAAAAUUCUAUCCCGAGUAGGGCAUUUCCCUUUCGCCACAACAAGACUUGGGUAAGCAAGUCUCCAAAACCAUCUCGAAGUUAAAAUAGAAGACCAUUUACACCCAUCUUGACAGCUACUCUCCUUUACUGGUACGUGAGUUUUAUGCUAAUCUUUACUAUCAUGAGUUAGAGUUCGUUUUCGUUCAAGAAGGUUUAAUACCAUAGGACGCUGCAACAACCAACGAGGUGUACAACACCAAGGUCGAUGUCGAUGAACACUGCAAGUUCAUGGAUGAUAUCACAGAUGAAAAACGAGAUCUGUUGGUGAGAGACUUGUGUGUCAAGGGAGCAGUGUAGAAUGGUUCCCAUAAAAAAAAUUACACGAUGCACCGUCGCUUCCUGACGCUACAAGGAAAAAUUUGGUUUCAUUUUGUCAACUGCAGGCUAAAGUCCUCCACUCACAACACUACAGUCACCCUAGACAGAAUGUGUCUAAUACAUUCUACUGUCAAGGGAAGAAAAUUUGAUGUAGGCGCAAUACUUCACCAAGGCUAAAGUCCUCCACUCACAGCACCACAGUCCCCCUAGACAAAAUGUGUCAAAUAAAUUCUAUUAUUAAGGGCAGAAAUUAAUGUAGGCAUAAUACUUUACCAAGAAAUAGUUGACUGCGCUGCAAGGCAGACUAGGAUAUUGGUUUUCCUAUCACUAGUGAUGUUAUUAUGCCAGCAAAGAGAAAUCGUGCCCUUUGCUGGUGCGAAAGUCUUGGAAAAUAAAGGCCCAAUCAAUGAAGCCUCUAUAGAAAGAAUAACUAGAAGCAAUAACACACCGAUAUUGAAGGAAGCGAAGACCAGCAAGACAAGAAAGGGUAAAGCCAAAUCUGACAAAAAUGGAACAAACUUAAAUGCAGAGACAUCAUUAUGGCAUAAACUAAAAGAUGUCGAAGAAAUGGUAAAUUACAUCAACAACAGGCAAAUUCGGCUUGUCACUAUAGUAGAAGAUAUGGAGAAAUCCCAGAAUUUGUUUUAUGCUUAUACUGGAGCCUGGAAUAGUUCUAUUGUAGCGACAUUAGACCAACUGAGCCCAUCAUCACUAUUUAAGUUCCCUGUAUUUCCAUAAAUCAUUCGCAAUUAUGACCCCUCUUCCUCGGAUGAAGACUUAGAAGGUCGAGAUAAACCGGUGGCAUCCCCACUCAUUAUGCAGGUCUCUGAUACUGAGAAAGAAAAGGAAUCUAGGGAGCUUGAAAAAUGCCUACGAAAGAUUGAUAGCUUGUUUGAUGAUAGUAUUUUUGCUGAUCAAGAGGACACUGUUUUUGAGAAGGAAGUUGCUGCUGCAGAAGAGGAAAUUGUUGCUGAAGAAGAAGAAGUUGCUGGAAAUAAGAAAGAAAAAGAAGAAAAAGAUUUUGUUGAGAUGAUUAUCACCGCACCAGAGUCUAUGGGUGCAAAUAUUAAUAAUUUGGAGUGAACUGGAGUAAGACUGGCGGAAGAUGUUGAGGUAACCAGUGAGGAACAAUGUAAUUCAUUGGCAAUAGUGGUCUACAUUGGACCACUCCAAGUGGCCUCUCCUACACAAACAACAGCCAAUGAUACCGGGACAGAGCCUGGCACUGAGGAGCAAUCUGAAGACUGUGCAAAGCCUAAAGAAAAGAAAAGAAAGAGCUUUAAGAAUAAAAAAAAUAAAAGAAUGAGGAAAAGAAAAAGAGGAGAAAGAAACAUAUGCAUCCACAUCGACGGCUACGGAUAACAUAGUUAGUUUAUUUUAAGCUUUGGUUAUAGUAUUCAUGCAUUGCAUGUAGCUUUAGGUUUUAUUUUGAUAAAUAUAUAUUUUCAUUGCAAUGUUAUUGUUAUUACAUUGUCAUAUUAGUGCAUUGGGGACAAUGCAAACUUUAAGUUUGGGGGAAUACACAUGGGCCUUGGAAAUGCACCCACAUUUCAAAAAAAAAGUCAAAAAUAAAGCAUGUAAGGUUUAAUUAUAGUUAAUGGAAAUUGUUCAAAAUUUUUGUUACGUUCGAUGCUUAAUUCUUGAAUCAUGUAAAUUAUCAAUGAAUGAGUUGGACAAAUUUGACAGAAGGUUAUAGCUUCAAUUUUUUGAUGAAUGCAUUAGGUUGUAUUAGUAAUAGAUGACUGUCAUCAUUCCUUAAAUCUUGAAUUAAUCUACUUUUUACAACUGUUUAUAUAUGCAUAUAUAGUUAUAAAGUAGAGACACUCCAAAGUGGGAGUAAUAUGGAAUAUUAAAAAGAGAACACUUUAAUACAAGUGUUAGAAAAAUCAAUCUGGCCAAAAUCUGUCACUGCAUGAAUGUGUGUCGAUGCAAUUACGUACUCCCUGAGGGUUUAUUGCACCCCAUCGUCACUUCUCAAGAACAAGGGUACAGUAAUGCAACAAUAUCCCUUAUUCCAAAAAAUGUAUAUAUAUACUUAGUAUUGGACAAUAAAUGUUGUAAUGGUAGAUAGAACUUAAGGUUUAAAGCAUGAUGCUAGCUUUGAUGAAGUUUCAACCUUAUGCAUUCAUGCUUAUGAAUUGUCGAUGCAAUAUUCUUUCAUCUGAAUGUGAUUCAUCCAUUAGGAAAUUAGAGGAUUCAAGUUGCUAGAAUGAGCAUUUGCCUUAGUAAAAUUUUUGUAGCCUUGCUAGUUUCUAUUUUACUUGAGGACAAGUAAAAACUCAAGUUUGGGGGUGUGAUAGCACUAGAAAUAACAUAGGUUUUUCCCCUUACUUAUUGGUUAAAUUGUUCCCAUUUGGUUAUCCUUAGCAUACAUUUUAGCAUUUUCAGUUUAGUAAAUUGUAUUUUACAACACAGUGAAUCUUAGCCUAUUUUAUCCUUAAUUUUGCUAUCUUAUUGCAUUAAUGUCGCUAUAUGAGUUAACCCAAGAUUGCGUCCAGAAUUGUCACCGCACCUAACAGCUAUCCGGAUAGGAACCAAAACUACGUAAGCUUUUAGUCUAGUAUAACCAACCUGUAUGUACAAGGACAAAAUAAUUUUGAGGAAAGGACACUUGUACUAUGGGAGAAGGAAAUAAAAGGUGGACGUGAGAAGAAAAAUAGGAGUUUUUUUUCUCCAUCAUCAUCUUCAUCAUCCUACCUUGAAGCUUGCGACCAUGGUAUCUUAAGCCUCUCACAAGUGAGCUAACAUAAAAAUCGGAUGCAAACUAGCUCCUGACGAGGAGAUCUAAGUGCGAGACAAGAAGGAAUAGAGAGAUUCAGUCGAGUUGUAUAGGAAUAGAAUUCUCCACUCAAUUCUUUCUUAUUUCUUUCUAAAUGUUGGUGAUUACUCUUUGAUUUCUAGCUGUAUGGAAGUACUGAUGAAUUCUUGGUGAAAUGUUUUCUUAUUUAAUCUUGCUUUUAUUGUUUAAUCUUGGGGUUUGAAAUUUUUUAACAUGGAAGUGUUAUUAUGGUCACUGACACUGGAAAGUGCAAUGAAAAUUUGAGCCAACAAGCAUUUCAAUGGAAUUUGAGUGAGGAUUAGAGGAAUUGAGUCCACUUGUUCUUAAUAUUGUCGUAUUGCCAUCAUUGGAAGGUUAGGUUAAUAUGCAUGUUUGAGUUUUAGAUUAAAGAUUAAAAGAGGAGUAACACCGGGUAAGAUCUACAUUGAAUUUUAUUACUUUGACAAUCACAUAUCUUUUUAUACCUUGUGAGUACUUAGUAUUCCGCUGAAGAUUCAUAUUGGGGAUCCCAGUUUAUCAUUAUCAUAUUUUAUUUUAUUUUAUUAUUUUCAAGUUAUUGCAUCGACAACUAUUCUUACAAUUUAUCUUGUUUCAAUCUAGUUGUUGCACCGACAUUAAUAGACAAAAGACUACCAUCCCUGUGGGAUCGAUAUUCGACAAACUGACAUCUGUCUACUAUAUUUACAUCGAUAGUGUACACUUGCAUAUUAUUGCUGUGACGUUAAACAACCAAUCAAUCAUCUUUAGUAUUCUUCUCCACCAAAAUUCAAGACAGGAAUAGCCAUUGUUAGCGCUUUGAUGUUCAAAUAUCUUGUGUGUGUGCAUGUAAUUGAUUUCGAGCCCGUUCUUAAUGAUUUUUAUGUUUUUAAGUUCGUUUUAGCUUAAUCUAGCUACCCUAAGGGUCAGUUUGUAAAAUUAUUAAAGGUUAAGGGUUAUGCCAUGAAUGUUCUUAAAUGGUUUUUAAUGUUAAAGGAUAUAUUAUUAAUCUUUGUUGAAAAAUAAACAAGUUUUGUUAAGUGAUUUUUGUUGAAUUUUAGAAUUAGAGACUAAUUUGUUAAAGGUAUAAACUCUAGGGUUUUAUUGUGAAAUGAUGGUAAAUAUUAGUUUUUUCAAGGUCCCUUACAUGUUUGAUUAACAUGGAUUUAGAUUAAAAUGUUUAAAUUUUAAGUUAUAAGCUUAAGGAAUAAAUUGUGAAAAAGUUAAAAUGUUAAGGGAAAAUUGGUAAUUUUGUAUAAAAAUGAAAUGUGGAUUACAUUGAAUACUAGAAAUAUUAAAUUGAUUGAAAUAUCCAUUUAGAUCAAGAUAAACCACGUACAGACCUAGAUCGAAGAAAAGCAAAAGCUUCUGAUUUGUUCAACCUAACUACUACACCUCUAGUCGUCGAGGUAAGUUCGUAUGAAGGUUAUUGUGUAAUUGUUACAUACAUUGAACAUUUUCUAUGUUACUCUUAAUGUAGAUGGGUCAAUAUACAUAAACAUAUCAAUGUUAUGACGAAUUGAAGGUUAUCGAGUCCCUAUUGAACCUUAGGAAUUUUUAGGAUACAAAUGCCAUGUCAUUGGGGAUUUCAUGUUUCGGGGGUUGGUCUUAAAUGUCCUACCGAUUGCUAAGGUCCUACAUUUUUUGCGGAUUCUCCAUAGCUCAUGUGAGCAGCAUAAUGUAGCUUACAUUCCAACCCACAGCUCGUGUGGGUAAUGAUGUAAAGGAAUGAUUAUGGUUAUAUGUAAAAGCACACUUUGUGUGAGCUUUCCCAAUUAUCCGAGGUAAUUCUAAUUGGUUCAAUAGGAAAGAAAAGAUAACGUAAUGGUAAGUAUGUAAAUGGAAUGAAUCAUGAUUUAAUGAAAGGCUUGAUGAACUAAAUGAUGUUGUAUGCAUAUGGAAAAUUUCAUACCUUAUGAAUGAUUUCAUUUAUGUUAUGGAUGAACAUACUAACUUGUGAGUUGGUUAUGUUGUAUAGGUUUACAGUAAGCUUAUGGCAUUGGUAUUGAUUUGUACUUAUUCUAUGAAUUGUAUUAUAGAAAUGGUAAGUUACGUUUUAAGUUUAUACGAGUUUACUAAGGAUUCAUUGCUUUCGUAUUUUCUUUCUUAUAUUUUAUAGAUUAUCGAAAGCUCGAUUUGGUUGGAAGUCCAUCAGAGAUCUAUUACACUAUCUAGCAAACAAUUCGGUAGUUUUUGAACAUUUUGGCCAAGGUUUAUAAUGGCAUGUAUAGGAUUAGAUGUAAUGGUAUUUUGACGAAUGUUUUUUUUUUUGUGUUUUGGCAUGUAUAAGAUUUGAAAGUUAUCUUGGUUUGCUAUUAUUUGAUGCCUUGUGAAAUUGUGUCAUUUUGUUUACCUUAUUAUUCAUGGUUGUAUAGCUUUUUAUGGUAAGUUUGAAAUAGUAUGAUAACGGUCACAUUUGUGGUAUGUUUUGAUAAGUAUUGAACUAGAACAUGAUGCUUGGAUUAGGUAGGUGUGGAUUGAAUGUGUUUGAGGUGCCUUUGAAUGGCAUAAUGGUUAGUUGUAUUAAGAUCUUGAAAUGGCAUUUUGGUGUAUGUUUUGGUGAUUUUUACUUCCUUUUGAAGUGUGCUUAAAUGGGUUGAAAGGUCAUGCAUGAAAUGGUCUUGGAAAUGGCUUGCUUUUAGGUAAAUUUGGGUCCACACUGCCAGAGACACGGGCGUGUGACUCAGCCGUUUGAGACACACGGCCUGGCGACACAUCCAUGUGUCAUCUGAUGAUUUUCUUCUGUUGCAAGUCAGAGAGAUACAUGGCCUGGCACACGGCCAUGUGACACUACUCAAAGAGUUACAUGGGUGAGGACACAGACUGGGAUACAGCCGUGUGUCCCUAGUUUGAUAGUUACAUGGCCUGAGACACGGGUGUGUCUCUCAGCCAUGUGAGGCACACGGUCAUGUGACCCCUAUUUUGUAAAUUUUGCAUCUUUUUCCAAAACUUUUCAAACUAUUUCAAAUUAGUUUUGAAUUGUUUCUAAGUUAUUUUUAGGGUCUCAGGGCUCGAGUUAGAGACAAUAUGCAUAUGUAUGAAUGGUUUGUGAUGUGAUUAUAAUAUUGAAUGAUAUAAAGCUUAAAUGUGGUUGAUUGUAUGAUAAUGUUCCGUAACUGUAAUCUAGAGAUAGAGAUGAGUUAGGGGUGUUAUAUUUAGUGGUAUUAGAGCCACGGUUUAGUCAGUUCUCAAACUGAACAUGGCGUGUAGAAAGCAUUGUGAAACGUAUCUAGCUUACAUAUUUGAUUCUAGGGUUUCAGAAUUGAAACCAGAAUGGGUUUCAACUGUACAUGAGUUCACAGAUGUAUUACCAGGGUUACCACCUAUUAGAGUGGUUGAGUUUGCUAUUGAGUUAGUGCGGGAACAUUUCAGAUUUCGAUAGCUUCUGUGACAACCCGAAUUAGGGCCUAAUCAGAAUAGUUGUUUCGUGACCACAAAUCCGAGAUAAAAAUAAUUGUUUUAUAAUUAUUUUUGGGUUUAUGAUAUGAUUUCAUGAUUUCGUUAAAAUUUCGUGAUGAAAUUCUAUGCAUUGAGCGCUUAAGUUGAUAUUAGGGACUAAAACGAAUAAAUUGUAAAACUCGUGUUUUAGAAGUUUUUAGUAUGAAAUUGCUUUGGGAUAUUAACUAGGAGGUCUUAAAUAGAAAUUUGACCCAUUCCUAAGUUAUGGACAAAAGUUGGACAUGGAGGGAAUUUUUGGAAAGUUUAGUAGUAAGGGCAUUUUGGUCAUUUGUAUAUUAAAUGAAAUAAAAUGGGAAAAAUAACACAAAAUUGGUCAUCAUCUUCACUAGCUGCUGCCGAAAUUUUCUCUCCUCCAUAGCUAGGGUUUCUUCAACUUUCAAGCUUCAGAGUAAGUGAUUUCAAGCCCCGUUUUUAAUGUUCUUCACAUUUUUGAAAUCCUCGUAGCUCGGUUUACCUAUUUCUACCAUUAUUUCGAGUCAGGGUUUAUGUUUAAAAAUUUACCCAUGAAUGAUAGGCAUGUAUUGUGUUGUUUGAUGGUAGAAUAUGAAUGUUUUAAGUUAGGAGAACGAUCUUUUCUAAGCGAUUUUUAACAAAAACGAGCAAAACGGCAUAAUCGAUAAAAAUACCUAUUGUUCAUAACUAUGUGUUAGAGUGAGAAUUUGAUGUUCCCAUAGAAGAGAAAAAUGAUCAGUAGGUCAUUAAACAUAAGAAUAAGGACUGAAAUUAAAUUUCUGAGCCUUGGGGCAAAAUCGUAAUUUUGUAAAAGUUAGGGGCAAAAAUGUAAUUUUUGUAUAAUGUAAUUUUUGGAUUAAAAUAAAUAGUUCGAGUGUUAAAUGAGCUAAAUAUGUUAUUAUAGAUCAAUAAAGGCGUGGAAUCGACCUCGAACGGGGGAAGGAGAAAGUUUUGGACUAAAUUGCAAAAUGCCCAUAUUUUGCACCGAGGUAAGUUUGUAUGUAAAUAAUACAUUAAUUUCAUUUACAUUCUUAUAUUUCAGCCUAUUAUAUAUAUACUAGCUGAUGUUGAAGUAUAAAUCGACUAUUGGAAGAAUGGAAAUAAGUAAUAGAGAGAGAGAUCCCAGUUGAACAUUCGGAAAGAUUGAAUAAAAUAGAGGGAGCAUAGCUAGGUCACAUGUAUGGUGCUGAGUGCACAUCAUGUGUACAAGAAAGCUACGAGAUACUAUGUAGUAGCUAGGUCACAUGUGUGAUACGGGAUGUAUCCCAUGUAGACAAGAGAGCUACGUGAGAGAUAAAUGUAGCUAGGUCGUAUGCGUGAUUCCAAGUGAAGGACACCAUGUAGACAAGAGAGCUACGAGACAAAUCGGCUAGGUCGCAUGAGUGGUACUAAGUGUUCACCAUGUGGACAAGAGAGCCGAAUUAAAUGAAAUAUGAUGGUGGGGCUGUGUGCUAAAACCAUCAAGUAUCGAGGAUUAAUCCGAAUUGUUCAAUGGGAUGGCUUUGUGGUGACAUUGUAGUCAUGGGCCUAUACUUGUGAUGUAUGAAAUGUGGUGAAAAUGAUUUGUGAUAUAUAUAUAUAAGUUAAAAUGAGGUUAGUACAAAGAAUGUGUGAAAGAGUGAAAUUAGCAUUAAAACUGUUUUGGGCAGUAGCAGUGACGUGAUUUUUAAAAACCACCAAAAAUAGAAGGAAUUUAAUUAGAGGUUUAAUGAGAUGUUAAAUUAAAUCUUAAUUAGUCUAUUUUCAUAUAAAAGAAACAGAGUAGGAAAAGGAAUUCUAUAUUUUGAGAUAUUUACAAUUGUGUGUGACUUGCUCAGGAUGACUAUGUGAUCCCCUGUUCCAAAUUUGAAAAAUCAUUAAAAAUUGUACAAAAAAAAUUAAUAAAUAUAGUUUAUAUGACUAAAUUCCUUAUUGAGUCUAGUUUUAAAUGAAACAGGUUUCAUGGUUAUUUGAGUUGUGUACUAAGAGAAAUUCAAUUCAUAGUAAAUAGAGGUCAAAUCAAUUGAGCUGUGUAACAGGGGAAACUUUAACUAAUAAACUGUACUAAUUGGCUGAACCAAAAAUUCUAGAAAAAAAAUUAGUAAGAAUUUUUAUGAGUCUAGAUUUAGGAAAAUUUUACGGAUUUGAAUUUUGAGUUUCGUAACUCAAGUUAUGAUUUAUUUAGUGAUCAUGACGCAGGAGGGACAGCUUGAUCAAAUCGGAGUAAAUAGUAAAAUUAAAAAUAUGAUAUAAUUGAGUUAUGUUGUAAACAUAUUAGAUUCCUUAUUUGUUAUUUAUAUACUUACUUACUAAGCUAUAAGCUUACUUUCUUUUCUCUCCUUUGUCUUAUAGUGUCAUCCAGCUAGCACAGGAGUUAGAGAUCGUUGAAGAUCCGCCCGCACUAUCAAUACUCUUGGUAUUCGAACUCAACAUUUUGAAAUAUGGCAUGUAUAGCAGACUUAGUUAUUUAGUUACGUGUCAUAAUUGUCUAGGUUUAAAAUACUAAUUAUAGUAUCAAACUAAUCAUUUUUUACGAAGCCUUUGAAAUUGGUUUGUAUUGUUAAUGGCAUAUGUUAUAAUGAUUCAUGAUCAAAUUGCACGCCAUAUUUUUGUUGGGUUUUAUUUAAUAGUAUAUACUAUAAUUUGUUAAUACCUCGUACCCUGUUCCGGCGACGGAUACGGGCAAGGGGUGUUACAUUUAGUGGUAUCAGAGCUAUGGUUUAGUCGGUUCUCGGACUAAUAAAGUGUGUGUAAAAGUCUAGCUAUACAUGCCAUAAAAAUAUUGUGAUAGUGUGGUGACUCCUGAUUAUUCUAAACUGUGUUUUGUUUUAAUAUAGUAAUGGAUCCUGAAAGAACUGUGGCUGAUGAUGCUGCUAGUAAUGCGCCGACUUCCGCACAAGGGACCGCGCCUGUGGAAAGUAGACCUGAGACAUUGAGACAGGGAGAUGAGGCUCGGGAUGCCUUUCUCCAAAUGAUGAACAAUUGGUAUACUGAGUUUAUUCGAGCAAAUCCAAAUGCUCAACCUCCUCCACCCCCUCUCAUACCUCAGACGAUUCCUGUAGUUGCUCAAGGCAUAGAUUUGGUAAGAACGAACAAGCCUCCGGUUGACAAGAUUCGAAAACAAGGGGCCGAAGAGUUUAGAGCAAAGAUCGAUGAUGAUCCUGAGAAAGUGGAGUUCUGGCUUGAAAAUUCUACCCGUGUAUUUGAUGAGCUCUCAUGUACACCCGAGGAGUGCUUAAAAUGUGCUGUAUCACUUUUGAGAGAUUCGGCCUACCACUGGUGGAAGAAUUUGGUAGCAGUGGUGCCAAAAGAAAGAGUUACUUAGGAUUUCUUCUAGGAAGAAUUUAGAAAGAAAUACAUAAGUCAGCGAUUUAUUGAUAAAAAACGGAAGGAGUUCCUUGAAUAGAAGUAGGGCAAGAUGUCUGUGGCAGAGUAUGAACGCGAAUUUAUAAGACUCGGCAAGUAUGCCCAGGAAUGUGUGUCCACCGAGGCCAUUAUGUGCAGAAGGUUUGAGGAUGGGCUAAAUGAGGACAUUAAAGUGCUUGUGGGAAUUUUGGAGUUGAAAGAAUUUGUAGUAUUGGUUGACCAAUCUCUUAAAGUCAAAGAAUUGAACAAAGAAAGAAGAAAAGCUGCUAUUGAGGCCCGAGAUGCCAGAAAAAGGCCGAUAAGCAAGUCAUUUCAAUCUCAAUCAAAGAGGUCCAAAGAGACAAACCCUCGAAUGACAGUUUCAACUGGGGAUUCACACAGAGAUCGUGGUAGAGCAUAUUUGGGGUCUAAAGCUCAAGCUACUUCGGUGGCAAGUGUGGGUAAUGUGCGACCUAGAAAGCUCGAGUGUCAGCAAUGUGGCAGGCAACAUUAUGGUGAGUGUUGGGGAAACGAGCGAUCUUGUUUUGGGUGCGGUUCUCACGAGCAUUUUAUUAGAGACUGUCUGGAGAAAGUUAAAGAAGAAAGAUUUCAGAGUGCUAGACAGAAUACCACCGCUAGCAGAGGUAGACCACCGAGAAAUACUAGAGGUGGGACUAGCAGUAAAACUGCGAUGAAAGAUUCAGCGGCGAGAUCAGAAGCUAGAGCGCCUGCUAGAGCUUAUGCUAUACGUGCCCGAGAGGAUGCAUCAUCUCCCGAUGUCAUUACUGGUACAUUUUCUCUCUAUGAUACUAUUUUUAUUGCAUUGAUUGAUCCCGGGUCCACUCAUUCCUAUAUUUGCAUGAAUUUAGUAUCUAAUAAAAAGUUGCCUGUUGAGUUUACUGAGUUUACGAUUAAAGUGUCGAACCCCUUAGGCCAAUAUGUGCUAGUUGACAAGGUUUGCAAGAAUUGUCCAUUAAUGAUUCAAGGUCACUGUUUUCCGGCUAAUCUGAUGCUGUUACCAUUUGAUGAGUUUUACGUUAUUUUGGGAAUGGACUGAUUGACAUUGUAUGAUGCCAAGGUAGAUUGUAAACAAAAAACACUAGAGUUGAAAUGUGAAAAUGGAGAAAUUCUGUGGGUUGAAACAGAUGAAUCAAAUAAAUUGCCUAUGGUGAUUUCGCACAUGUCUGCACAGAAAUACAUGAGGAAAGGGUGUGAAGCUUAUUUGGCUUAUGUAAUGAAUACUGAGUUGCCUCAACUGAAGUUUGAAUCAGUACCGAUAGUCUGUGAGUUUCUAGAUGUAUUUCCAGAGGAAUUGCCUGGGUUACCUCCGAACAGAGAGAUAGAGUUUGCCAUUGAUUUGUUGCCGGGUACUGCACCGAUCUCGAUUGCUCCAUAUAGAAUGGCUCUGACUGAAUUAAAAGAAUUGAAGGCUCAGUUGCAAGAGUUAACAGAUAAGGGAUUUGUGAGACCGAGUUUCUCUCCCUGGGGUGCUCCUGUAUUGUUCGUAAAGAAGAAGGAUGGUUCAAUGAGACUUUGCAUUGAUUACCAUCAACUUAAUAAGGUGACUAUAAAGAACAAGUACCCAUUGCCGAGGAUUGAUGAUUUAUUCAAUCAGUUAAAGGGGGCCACAAUGUUUUCAAAGAUCGAUUUGAGGUCUGGUUACUACCAGUUGAGAGUUAAGGAGUCGGAUGUGCCGAAAACUGCCUUUAGGACAAGGUAUGGACAUUAUGAGUUUCUUGUGAUGCCUUUCAGCUUAACAAAUGCUCCAGCUAUAUUUAUGGACUUGAUGAACCGGAUCUUUCGGCCAUAUUUGGAGAAGUUUGUAGUAGUGUUUAUAGAUGACAUUCUAAUUUAUUCUCGGGAUGAGUUUGAACAUGCCGAACACUUGAGAACCAUAUUGCAAAUCUUGAGAGAAAAGAAACUGUUUGCUAAGUUUAGUAAAAGUGAGUUUUGUCUUCGUGAAGUCGGAUUUUUGGGACAUAUAGUCUCAGGUUAUGGUAUUCGGGUGGAUCCAAGCAAGAUUUCCGCGAUCGUUGAUUGGAAACCGCCAAAGAAUGUAUCCGAGGUUAGAAGCUUUUUAGGCUUGGCCGGGUAUUAUAGACGUUUUCUUGAGGGAUUUUUGAUGAUUGCCUCUCCUAUUACUAAGUUGUUGCAAAAGAAUGUUAAGUUUGAAUGGACUGAAAAAUGUCAGCAGAGUUUUGAAAAGUUGAAAGCACGAUUGACUGAAGCACCAAUUUUAGCACAGCCUGAGCUAGGAAAGGAGUUCGUAAUUUAUAGUGAUGCAUCAUUGACAGGCCUUGGAUGUGUGUUGAUGCAAGAGGGUAAAGUGGUAGCUUAUGCUUCGAGACAGUUAAAACUGCAUAAGAAGAACUAUCCUACACAUGAUUUGGAAUUGGCCGCUAUUGCCUUUUCCUUGAAGAUUUGGCGACAUUAUUUGUAUGGUGAAAAAUGCCGAAUUUUUACUGAUCACGAAAGUUUGAAGUAUUUGAUGAAUCAAAAGGAUUUGAAUCUGCGACAGCGGAGAUGGCUCGAAUUAUUAAAGGAUUAUGAGCUAGUGAUUGAUUAUCAUCCGGGAAAAGCAAAUGUAGUUGCUGACACCUUGAGCAGGAAAUUUCUUUUUACUUUGAGAGCCAUGAAUAUGGGGUUAGCAUUGUCUGAUGAUGGGUCAAUCUUAGCAGAGAUGAGGGCUAAACCGUUAUUUCUCCAGCUGAUUUGUGAUGCUCAAAAGAACGAUAGUGAGUUGUGAACCAAGGAACUCAAUGCGAAUCAGGUUACGACUCAGAUUUUCGAGUUGGACUAGACGACUGUUUGAUGUUUCGAGACAGGAUAUGUGUACCGAAAAAUUAUGAAUUGAUUCAGAAAAUAUUAGAUGAGGUGCACAGUGGCUGUUUAUCAGUUCACCCUGGUAGCACAAAAAUGUAUAAUGAUUUAAAGAAGUUAUAUUGGUGGCCAGGUAUGAAAAGGGACAUUUCUGAAUUUGCAACCAAGUGUUUGAUUUGUCAACAAGUAAAAGCUGAACAUCAAGUGCCUUCAAGACUACUUCAACCGGUAAUGGUGCCUGAGUGGAAAUGGGACAAGAUUACCAUGGAUUUUGUAGCCGGUUUGCCUUUGACUCCUAAAAAGAAGGAUGCUGUUGGGUAGUGGUUGAUAGAUUAACAAAGUCAGCCCACUUUAUACCAGUACGUAGCGAUUACUCACUUGAUAAAUUAGCUGAAUUAUAUAUUGCUGAAAUUGUGAGGUUGCACGGAGUACCUAUGUCUAUAAUAUCAGAUAGAGAUCCGAGAUUUACCUCAAGAUUUUGGAAAAAGUUACAAGAAGCUUUUGGUAAAAAAUUGAACUUUAGUACCGCAUUUCAUCCACAAACAGAUGGUCAGUCAGAAAGAGUAAUCCAGGUACUCGAGGAUAUGCUUAGAUGCUGUGUCUUAGAAUUUGGAGGUAGUUGGGAGAAAUAUCUAUCUUUGAUUGAAUUUGCCUACAAUAAUAGUUAUCAGUCAAGUAUACAAAUGGCACCGUACGAAGCCUUGUAUGGUCGCAAGUGUCGGACUCCUUUAUAUUUGACCGAACUUAGUGAGAAAUAGAUUCACAGAGUUGAUCUAGUUAAAGAAACCGAAGAGAAAAUAAAAGUAAUUCGGGAUUGCUUGAAAGCUGCUUUAGUUCGACAAAAGUCAUAUGCAGAUUUAAAAAGAAAAGAGAUUGAAUUUCAGGUGGGUGAUAAAGUGUUCUUGAAGGUGUCACCAUGGAAAAAGAUUCUGAGAUUUAGCCGAAAAGGCAAGUUGAGUCUGCGUUUUAUUGGGCCGUACGAGAUUACUGAGAGGAUUGGACCAGUGGCAUUUCAGUUAGCCUUACCGGCAGAGUUAGAAAGAAUUAAUAACGUGUUUCAUGUAUCAAUGUUGCGACGUUAUCAUUCUGAUCCUUCACAUGUGAUUUCUCCAGCAGAAAUUGAGAUUCGACCGGAUAUGACCUAUGAGGAACCAAUAAAGAUUUUGGCUCGGGAAAUUAAAUAGUUAAGAAAUAAAGUAUAGCCUUAGUGAAAGUAUUGUGGCACAGACAUGGGAUAGAAGAGGCUACAUGGGAACCUGAGGAAGCUAUGAGGAAACAGUACCCAAACCUCUUUACCGGUAAGAUUUUCGGGGACGAAAAUCUCUAAAGGGGGGGAGAAUUGUGACAACCCGAAUUAGGGCCUAAUCAGAAUAGUGGUUUUGUGACCACAAAUUUGAGAUAGAAAUAAUUGUUUUAUAAUUAUUUUGGGGUUUAUGAUAUGACUUCAUGAUUUCAUGAAAAUUUCGUGAUGAAAUUCUAUGCAUUGAGCGCUUAAGUUGAGAUUAGGGACUAAACCGAAUAAAUUGUAAAACUCAUGUUUUAAAAGUUUUUAGCAUGAAAUUACUUUGGGAUAUUAACUAGGAGGUCUUAAAUAAAAAUUUGACCCAUUCCUAAGUUAUGGACAAAAGUUGGACAUAGAGGGAAUUUUUGGAAAGUUUAGUAGUAUGGGCAUUUUGGUCAUUUGUAUAUUAAAUGAAAUAAAAUGGGAAAAAUAACACAAAAUUGGUCAUCAUCUUCACUAGUUGCUGCCGAAUUUUCUCUCCUCCAUAGCUAGGGUUUCUUCAACUUUCAAGCUUCAUAGUAAGUGAUUUCAAGCCCCGUUUUUAAUGUUCUUCACAUUUUUGAAAUCCUCAUAGCUCGGUUUACCUAUUUCUACCAUUAUUUUGAGUUAGGGUUUAUGUUUAAAAAUUUACCCAUGAAUGAUAGGCAUGUAUUGUGUUGUUUGAUGGUAGAAUAUAAAUGUUUAAAGUUAGGAGAACGAUCUUUUCUAAGCAAUUUUUAACGAAAACGAGCAAAACGGCAUAAUCGAUAAAAAUACCUAUUGUUCAUAACUAUGUGUUAGAGUGAGAAUUUGAUGUUCCCAUAGAAGAGAAAAAUGAUCAGUAGGUCAUUAAACAUAAGAAUAAGGACUGAAAUUAAAUUUUCGAGCCUUGGGGAAAAAUCAUAAUUUUGUAAAAGUUAGGGGGCAAAAAUGUAAUUUUUGUAUAAUGUGAUUUUUGGAUUAAAAUAAAUAGUUCAAGUGUUAAAUGAGCUAAAUAUGUUAUUAUAGAUCAAGAAAGGCAUGGAAUCGACCCUCGAAUGGGGGAAGGAGAAAGUUUUGGACUAAAUUGCAAAAUUCCCAUAUUUUGCACCGAGGUAAGUUUGUAUGUAAAUAAUACAUUAAUUUCAUUUACAUUCUUAUAUUUCAGCCUAUUAUAUAUAUACUAGCUGAUGUUGAAGUAUAAAUCGACUAUUGGAAGAAUGGAAAUAAGUAAUAGAGAGAGAUCCCGGUUGAACAUUCGGAAAGAUUGAAUAAAAUAGAGGGAGCAUAGCUAGGUCACAUGUAUGGUGCUGAGUGCACAUCAUGUGUACAAGAAAGCUACGAGAUACUAUGUAGUAGCUAGGUCACAUGUGUGAUACGGGAUGUAUCCCAUGUAGACAAGAGAGCUACGUGAGAGAUAAAUGUAGCUAGGUCGUAUGCGUGAUUCCAAGUGAAGGACACCAUGUAGACAAGAGAGCUACGAGACAAAUCGGCUAGGUCGCAUGAGUGGUACUAAGUGCUCACCAUGUGUACUAGAGAGCCGAAUUAAAUGAAAUAUGAUGGUGGGGCUCGAGGAUUAAUCUAAAUUGUUCAACGGGAUGGCUUUGUGGUGACAUUGUAGUCAUGGGCCUAUACUUGUGAUGUAUGAAAUGUGGUGAAAAUGAUUUGUGAUAUAUAUAUAUAUAAGUUAAAAUGAGGUUAGUACAAAGAAUGUGUGAAAGAGUGAAAUUAGCAUUAAAACUGUUUUGGACAGUAGCAGUGACGUGAUUUUUAAAAACCACCAAAAAUAGAAGGAAUUUAAUUAUAGGUUUAAUAAGAUGGUAAAUUAAAGCUUAAUGAGUCUAUUUGCAUAUAAAAGAAACAGAGCAAGCAAAGGAAUUCUAUAUUUUGAGAUAUUUACAAUUGUGUGUGACUUGCUCAGGAUGACUAUGUGAUCCCCUAUUCCAACUUUUAAAAAUCAUUAAACAUUGUACAAAAAAAAUUAAUAAAUAUAGUUUAUAUGCCUAAAUUCCUUAUUGAGUCUAGUUUUAAAUGAAAUAGGUUUCAUGGUUAUUUGAAUUUUGUACUGAGAUAAAUUCAAUUCGUAGUGAAUAGAGGUCAGAUCAGUUGAGCUGUGUAACAGGGGAAACUUUAACUAAUAAACUGUACUAAUUGGCUGAACCAAAAAUUCUAAAAAAAAAUUAGUAAGAAUUUCUAUGAGUCUAGAUUCAGGGAAAUUUUACAGAUUUGAAUUUUUAGUUUCGUAACUCGAGUUAUGAUUUAUUUAGUGAUCAUGACGCAGAAGGUCAGCUUGAUCAAAUCGGAGUAAAUAGUAAAAUUAAAAAUAUGAUAUAAUUGAGUUAUAUUGUAAACAUAUUAGAUUCCUUAUUUGUUAUUUAUAUACUUACUUACUAAGCUAUAAGCUUACUUUCUUUUCUCUCAUUUGUCUUAUAGUGUCAUUCAGCUAGCACAGGAGUUAGAGAUCGUUAAAGAUCCGCCCGCACUAUCAAUACUCUUGGUAUUCGAACUCAACAUUUUGAAAUAUGGCAUGUAUAGCAGACUUAGUUAUUUAGUUACGUGUCAUAAUUUUCUAGGUUUAAAAUACUAAUUAUAGUAUCAAACUAAUCAUUUUUUACGAAGCCUUUGAAAUUGGUUUGUAUUGUUAAUGGCAUAUGUUAUAAUGAUUCAUGAUCAAAUUGAACGCCAUAUUUUUUUUGGAUUUUAUUUAAUAGUAUAUACUAUAAUUUGUUAAUACCUCGUACCUUGUUCCGGCGACGGAUACGGGUAAGGGGUGUUACAAUUUCGUAUAGAAUGGCAUCUGCAGAACAUAAAAAGUUAAAAGCACAGUCACAAGAGUUGGCAGAUACAGACUUUGUUCAGCCUAGUUUUUCUCCUUGAGGUGAUCUUGUUUUGUUUGUUAAGAAAAAUGACGGAUCAAUGUGGUUGUGUAUCGACUACCAAUAGCUCAACAAAGUCACGAUCAAGAACAAAUGUCUUUUGCCACAUAUAGGUGAUUUGUUUGAUCAGCUGAAAGCAACAACAGUGUUUUCAAAGAUUGACUCCGUUCAGGAUAUUAUCAAUUAUAGAUUGAAGACUCGGAUGUGCCAAAUACUGUUUUCAGAACUCGGUACAAACAUUAUGAAUUUCUUGUUAUUCCAUUUGGUUUGACCAAUGCACCUGCUAUGUUUAUGGAUUUGAUGAAUAGGACAUUCAAGCCGUAUUUAGACAGAUUUUUGGUUGUGUUCAUUGAUGAUAUACUUAUUUAUUCCCGAGAUGAGACAGAGCAUACCCAGCAUUUGAGAAUAGUUUUGCAGACUUUACGUGAAAAAUAGUUUUUCUCUAAGUUUAGCAAAUGUAAGUUCUGGCUUCAGAAAGUUGGAUUUUUGGGACACAUGGUAUCAGUGGACGAUAUUAGAGUUGAUCCAAGUAAAGUAUCGGCUAUAGUGGACUGGAAGCCUCCGAGAAAUGUGUCUGAAGUAAGAAGUUUUCUGGGUUUAGCAAAAUAUUGUAAAAAAUUUGUAAAAGGAUUUUCAAUGAUUACUACACCAUUGAUGAAACUGCUUAGAAAGAUCUCAAGUUUGAAUGGUUUGAGAAAUGUCAACAAAGCUUUGAUCAAUUGAAAGCGUUGUUAAUCAAGGCACCUGUGUUAGUUUAGCCAGAGUCCGGUAAGGAAUUUUUUAUUUAUAGUGAUGUUUCAUUGGACGGUUUAGGUUGUAUAUUGAUGUAAGAAGGCAAAGUGGUAGCGUAUGCUUCUCGACAGUUGAAAUCGCAUGAAAAGAAUUACUCGACUUAUGAUUUAGAGCUUCUUUAAAGAUUUGGCGACACCGCUUGUACGGAGAAAAAUGUCAUAUUUUCACGAAUCACAAAAGCCUAAGGUAUUUGAUGUCACAGAAAGAUCUAAACUUGAGACAACGUUGAUCGUUUGAAUUACUAAAAGAUUACGACUUGAUCAUUGACUAUCACUUAGGAAAGGUUAAUGUCGUUGUUGAUGCUCUGAGUAGAAAAUCUUUAUUUGCUUUUUAAGCUUUGAAUACAAGAUUUACGUUGAUUGAUGAUGGUUCUAUACUAGUUGAAUUAGAAGCUAGACCAAAAUUUUUGCAAUAGAUUUGUGAGGCUUAGAAAAGUGACACUAAAUUGAUCGCUAAACGAAAAUAGAUUGAGUCAACAUCUGAUUCAGACUUUCAUGUUGGUUUAGACAAUAAUUUGUAGUUCAAAAUAGAAUUUGUGUUCCAAGGAAUUCUGAUCUCAUUCAGAAGCUUUUACAUGAAGUUCACAGUAGUAACUUAUCGUUACAUCCUGGUAGCAAUAAAAGGUACAGUGAUUUGAAACAGAUGUUCUUGUGGCUAGGUAUGAAACGAGAGAUUUCAGAGUUUGUAUCAAAAUGUGUGAUCUGUCAGCAAGUAAAAGCUAAGCAUUAAGUACCUUUUGGUUUAUUACGACCUAUGAUGAUUCCAGAGUGGAAAUGGGAAUGUGUUACAAUGGAAUUUAUGUCAGGAUUGCCUCUAUCUCCGAGAAAGAAAGAUAUCUUUUGGGUUAUUGUAGAUCGUUUGAUGAAAUCUACACAUUUCAUUCUAGUGCGUACGAAUUUUUCACUUGAUAAAUUAGCAUAAUUAUACGUUUCUGAGAUUGUCAGAUUACACGGUGUGCCAGAUUCUAUUAUCUCUGAUAGAGAUCCAAGAUUUAUGUCUUGAUUCUGGAGUAAGUUACAUAAAGCUUUGGGUACUCAACUACAUUUUAGUAUACCAUUUCAUCUACAAACCGAUGCUCAAUCUUAACAAGUAAUCCAGGUACUCGACGAUAUGCUCCGAUGUUGCGUUUUAGAGUUCAAAGGUAACUAGGAGAAAUUUCUUCCGUUUGUUAAAUUUGCAUACAACAAAAAUUAUCAAGAGAGCAUUAAAAUGGCACUGGAUAAAGCUUUGUAUGGUCAAAAAUGUCGAACAUCGUAAUACUGGACUGAGCUGAGGGAGAAAAAGUUAUUCAGUAUUGAUUUGAUUUGAGAAACUGAAGAAAAAGUCAAAGUGAUACGUAACCAUUUGAAAGCUGCUUCUGAUCAUUAGAAAUCUUAUGUAGAUUUGGAAAGAAAAGAUAUGGAGUUUCAAGUCAGUAACAAGGUAUUUCUAAAAGUAUCGCCUUGGAGAAAAGUUCUCUGGUUUGGCUGAAAAGGAAAGCUUAGUCCGUGAUUUAUCAGACCGUAUAAGAUUAUUGAGAGGAUUGGACCAGUGGCUUAUUGAUUGGCUUUUCCGUCUAAGUUAGAAAAGAUUCAUAAUGUAUUUCAUGUAUCAAUGUUAUGAUGGUAUCGAUCAGAUCCUUCACACGUGAUUUAACCUAUAGAUGUUGAGUUCAGCCAGCAAUGACGUACAGUGAAGAAACAAUCAAAAUUUAGCUCGGGAAGUUAAAGAAUUGAGAACAAAAGUAUAGCUUUAGUUAAAGUUACCUGGAAACGUCAUGGAAUGAAAGAGGCUACCUGGGAACCAAAAAAAGCUAUGAAAGUUCAAUACCCGAACCUAUUUUCUGGUAAGAUUUUCGGGGACAAAAAUUCCUUUAGGGGGAGAGUUGUAACAACGCAUUUUUAGUGAUAUCAAAAAUAGUGAUUUCAGGACCACAAUUCUGAUGAGUAAAUUAUUAUUUUAUUAUCAUUUUAACAUCUAUGCGAAUAUAUUAAGGUCGUAUUAAAAUUUCGUUAAGAAAUUUUUAUGUUUAAGUAAUUAAUUAAGUGAAAAGGACUAAAUCAUAAAAAGGUGAAAAGUUGAGUUAUAUUAGUUAAAAGGGUCAAAUGACUAUGAAACUUUAAACUAAAGGACUUGAAGGGAAAAUAACCAUUUAAUAAAUUAUUGGGUGUGCAUGGCAUUUUUUAUUGAAAUUUUGUUAGUUUUUAAAGGUUAAUUUGGUAAUUAAGUAAAUAAACUUAAAACAAAAAGGAAUUAAAAGAUAGUAUCAUCUUUAGUCUUCUUCUCCAUUGAGAUUCAAGAGAGGAAUAGCCAUUGUUAGGGCUUUAAUGUUUAGCUAGCUUGGGUGUGUGCAUGUAAGUGAUUCCAAGCCCUAUUCCUAAUGAUUUUUAUGUUUUUGAGUUCGUUUUAGCUUAAUCUAGCUAGCCCUGAGGUCAAUUUGUAAAAUUGUUAAAGGUUUAGGGUUAUGCCAUGAAUGUUCUUGAAUGUUUUUUGAUGUUACAUGAUAGAUUAUGAAUCUUUGUUGAAAAAUAAACAAGUUUUGUUAAGUGAUUUUUGUUGAAUUUUGGAAUUAGGGACUAAUUUGUUAAAGAUAUAAAUUCUAGGGUUUUAUUGUAAAAUUAUGGUAAAUAUUAGUUUUUUCAAGGUCGCUUGCAUGUUUGAUUAACAUGGAUUUAGAUUAAAAUGGUUAGAUUUUAAGUUAUAAGCUUAAGGACUAAACUGUGAAAAAGUUAAAAUGUUAGGGGCAAAUUGGUAAUUUUCAUAAAUAUGAAAUUUGGAUUAAAUUAAAUACUAGAAAUAUGAAAUUGAUUUAAAUUCUCCAUUUAGAUCAAGAUAAACCACGUACGGACCUAGAUCAAGGAAAAGCAAAGGCUUCUGAAUAGUUUGACCUAACUACUAUGACCCUAGUCGUCAAGGUAAGUUUGUAUGAAGGUUAUUGUGUUAUUGUUACUUAAAUUGAAUGUUUGCUAUGUUACUCUUAAUGUGAAUGGAUUGAUAUAUAUAAACAUAUCAAUGUUAUGAUGAAUUGACAAUUAUCGAGUCCCGGUUGAACAUUAGGAAAUCUUAGGAUACAAAUGACAUAUCAUUUGGGAUUUCAUGUUUCGGGUGCUAGUCUUGAAUGUCCUAUCGAUGGAUGAGGUCCUAUAUUUUUUGUGAAUUCUCCACAGCUAGUGUGAGCAGCAUCCUGUAGCUUACAUUCGACCCACAGCUCGUUUGAGCAUGCCCAUUUCACAGCUUGUGUGAAAAAUAAUGUAAAGGAAAGGUUACGAUUGUAUGUAGAGGCACACCUUUGUGUGAGAUUCCCUAAGUAUCUGAGGUAAUUCUAAUUGGUUCAACAGGAAAGAAAAAGGAACAUAAUGGUAAGUAUGUAAAUGGAAUGAAUCAUGAUUUAAUGAAAGGCUUGAUAAACUAAAUAAUGUUGUAUGUACCUUAUGAAUGAUUUCAUUUAUGCUAUGGAUGAACAGACUAACUUGUGAGUUGGUGAUGUUGCAUAUGUUUACACUAAGAUUAUGGUAUUGGUAUUGAUUUGUACUUAUUAUAUGAAUUGUACUAUAAAAAUGGUAAGUUACGUUUUAAUUUUAUACGAGCUUACUAAGCAUUCAUUACUUACAUAGUUUCUUUCUUAGUUUCUUCCUUGUCAAAUUGUGUCAUUUUGGUUAUCUUAUUAUGCAUGGUUGUAUAGCUCUUUAUGGUAAGUUUGAAAUGGUAUGAUAAUGAUCAUAUUUGUGGUAUGUUUUGAUAAAUAUUGAAGUAGAACAUCAUGCUUGGAUUGUGGUAUUUUUUAUAUGCUUAGGUAGGCGUGAUUUUGAAUGUGUUUGAAGUGCCUUUGAAUAGCACAAUGGUUAGUUGUAUUAAGAUCCUGAAAUGGCAUUUUGGUGUAUGUAUUUGUUAUGUUUGGGUCCUUUUGAAGUGUGCUUAAAUGUGUUGAAAGGUCAUGCAUGAAAUGGUCUUGGAAAUGGCUUGAUUUUAGGUAAAUUUGGGUCCACACGGCCAGAGACACGGGCGUGUGACUCAGCCGUGUGAGACAUACGGCCUGGCGACAUGGCCCUGUGUCAUCUGAUGAUUUUCUUAUGUUGUAACAACCCGUUUAGUAAAAUCAAAAUAGUGGUUUCGAAACCAUAAACUCGAUGUCAAAAAAUUAUUUGAAUAUUAUUUUAAGUGUUUACAGCAUGAUAGCAUGUAUGAGUGAAAGUUUUGUGAAGUAAUUUUGUAACACCCCUAUCCCGUAACCAUCACCGGAAUAGGUAAGGGGCAUUACCGGACUUGUAACUCAUGUCAGAACAGUAAAAUUUUGAACUUUUUCUUGAAAUAAAGAUCAUUCAUUUAAAUAAGUACUAAGCACAGCCAGGGAUAAAAUUUAAACUUCUCUAAGUAAACAUUCAAAAGAUGCCAUUUUCGCAUGGCUUAUAUACAUUAACCAAAAAUAUUCUUCCGCCACUAGUCUAUUCUAUACAUGCCAUAAAAUAAUUCUAAACAUAACAGUAAUAAGCAGUGGAUAGUGAUAGUGUGACUAGUUGCUGACGAUCCCCGAGCCUGUAGCUUCGCAAUGAGAUCUAUAAAAUAGAGAAAACAAAGUAAACGGAGUAAGCAUUACAAUGCUUAGUAAGUUUUAAGCAGUGACAACAGAUAACAAUCAAAUUAUAACAUAGUUGUUCAUAUUUUUAUUUCACUCUUCCUUCGGGCAUACCAUCCCUUUACCGAAUAUGCACAUCUCAUCAUAUACAAUAGGCAGAUAAACUUUCACAUAAAAGUGAGCUCAUGUGACAUAGAUAUAUUGUAUGAUUUCACAUAUCCUCUCACACUGAUCCGAAGUCACAUAAUCAUAGGAAUAGUCUCAUAGAUUGCUCUCAUAUGCAUCACAUAACUACCUUAUGAUUUAGUUCAAAUCAAGCUCACAUAUAAACUUGGAGUACAUACCUGUUUAACCUUUCGCAUUGAAUAUAUUUAUAUGCAAUUCUUAUUACGAAGUCUUAUAGCUCUAACCUCUACUCGGAUUAUCGGUGAGACCUUUAGCUCAGACGAAAUCUCCACAUGAAGUUAUCGGGUCUUACCCAGACAAAAUCUCCACACGUAGUUAUCGGGUCUUACCCAGACAUAAUCUCCACACGUAGUCAUUGGGUCUUACCCGGACAUAAUCUCCACACGUAGUCAUCGGGUCUUACCCGGACAUAAUCUCCACACGUAGUCAUCGGGUCUUACCCGGAAUAUAUUUCCAAGUUUCAUGUACAUUUAAUCACAUGUUACAACAUUCACAUCGACUGUCAUAUUUGUAAUUCAUUUGCCUCAUCCAAAAAUCUAAUAAUACACACCUUUCACCGUUUGUCAUUUGGCCACAAUAUAUAUAUACACAUCUCGUACAUAUCUCACAUUAGCCAUUUGGCUUUACCACAUAUCCAUCUCAUACACGUUUCGCAUUAGCCAUUCGGCCUUACCACAUAUAUUCAUGUUCACAUUCAUCACAUUGGCCAUUCGGCCUUAUCUCAUAUAUGCAUGUUCACAUUCAUCACAUUGGCCAUUCGGCCUUAUCACACAUACGCAUGUUCACAUUCAUCACAUUGGCCAUUCGGCCUUAUCACACAUACGCAUGUUCAUAUCCAUCACAGUGGCCAUUCGGCCUUAUCACACAUACGCAUGUUCACAUUCAUCACAUUGGCCAUUCGGCCUUAUCACACAUAUAUAUACGGGUUCACAUUCAUCACAUUGGUCAUUCGGCCUUAUCACACAUACGCAUGUUCACAUCCAUCACAUAAAAUCCUAAAUCAAAAUAUAAAUUUUCAUGUAUUCACAUCACAAUUAUCCAAAUAUACUUCACAUACCACAUAUACUUUCACGUAUACACACUGCCUUGGCUGAAUCUACAUCUAUCAUUUUCCAAUAUCACAAUUUAGAAUUCACGUAUGGGUUUAAUCAAUAGCUUAUGACCAACUAAAACAAGUUUAUCAAGGUUUACAACAUAAUCUCAAAUUCAGCACAAGCUAUUUUUCCUGAGCAAUAGUCACUAAAUUAUUUAUAACUGGAGCUACAAAACUCCAAAUCACUUUAUGUUAAUUUUUCCUGAAUAUAAACUCGUAUAUCUUCCAUCCAUAAAAUUUCCAGAAUUUUAGGUUUGGCCAAUCAAUACCAGAUUUUUCUUAAAGUUUCUCCUGUUUCACUGUUUGACUAAUCUGACCACUCUUCACUACGAAUCAAAUUUCUCAUUUUACAGAAUUCAAAAUGUGUUUUAUUUGAUUUCAUUUGAAACUAGACUCAUUAAGGAGUCUAAGAAUAUAAAUUUUAUCUUAUAACCAUUUUUGUACAAUUUAUAAUGAUUUUCUAAAAACCGAACAGGUGAUUUCGGAGUCAUUCUGACACCAUCUCACACAACUUUAAAUAUCUCUUUCUAGGAAAUUUCUUUGCUCACAAGGUCUCUUUUAUAAGAAACUAGACUAAUUAAGCCUUGAUUACAUAUUUUAUGUAGCCUAUAAUUCCACACCAACAAUUUAUAGUGAUUUUCUAAAUUCACGUUACUGCUGCUGUCCAAAGCAAAUUAUUACAAUUUGCUCUUAAAUUUCCAAGUCCAAACACUUAUGAACUUACCAUUUGAGUUUAAGACAUAUCAUGGCCACAUCAUAUCUUAUUAAAUCAACUCAUUAUGUCCUAUUAUGAUUGAAUUUACUCAACGUUUAAUCACUUAAAACUUACCUCGGAUGUUGUCGAACGAUUUCGGCGGCUAUUCGAUCACUUUUUCCUUUCCUUUAUCCAACUUUGAUCCUCUAAGCUCUUGAGCUAAUUCAAACAAAUUUAACUUAUUAAAGUCUCAUUAUGCUAGCUUAUGGCCGAAUAUGACAAUGAAUUUGAUAGGUCAUAUGGCCACUUUUAGCUCAAAUACAAAAUGGUCAUACGCAUUUUUAAUCACAUUAAGCAAUUUAGUACAAUUAAUCAAACAUUUCCUCAUGUGCACCUUUAUGACCAAAUACACACAUCAUUAACCUAAUAUCAAUUAACUAAGCACUUAACAAAUUCUCCUUGAGCCGAUUGUCUAAGUCAAGAUAGGAUCAUCAUUAUGCUUACCUAUAGCCGAAUGUACAACAUCAAUCUAUGCAUUCAUUCGUGUGGCCGAACAUGCAUGUCUAUGUUGAGGCCGAUUGCAUACUUAAUACAUUCUACAAGUAUGGUCACUUGUAUUGACCAAAUACCAUUUUGUUUCAAGUUCAAAACUUGGCUAAUAUAUAUAUAUGCACUAUUAAAACAUCCUCUCCAUUCCAUCAAUUCAACACAUGCAUUACUCAUUAAUAUACAAAAUUAUAUUCGGCCUUAGCACACCUCUUGCUGGCCGAAUUUUUUCUCCAUCUAGCAACAUUUUAUGUACUAUGCCGAACCAAAAAGAUCAAACACCUAGCUUAAUCAUUUCCAAAACACUUAACCGGCCUUUGACCAAGACUUUAAACAAAGUCUAUGUUCGGCUAUCACACAUAUGGGCAUUAUUAGUUCAAAGUUUUAACAAGAUUAAUUUCUUUGAUCUUAACCUAAAUGACAACCCCCAUUGUUCAUCUAGAUUUAGCAUGAAACAAACACCAACCAAGAAAACAACACCCAUGGCCGAGUAUCAUCUUCAUCACAUAGCAAGAUUUAAACCAUAGGCUAGGUAGAACUCAAACUAACAUCAAAAAUAUGCAUGAAUCUCAUGGAACAACAUCAAACUUACCUUAACCUAGAUACAAGCAUGGCCGAAUCUCUUCAACAUUUCCUCCUCCUAAACACCAACCAACUGAACAUGAAGCAAGAAAAUCCUCUUCUUCUUCCUUCCUCCUUAGAAUUUUCAGCCAAAAGAAAUGUUAAAGGAUGGACACUUUUUUUUUCUUUGUUUUCAUCACCCUCCAUCUCCUUAUUUUAUUACUAACCCCUUAUUUUAUUAUUUCUAACAUAAACCAUUAACACAACAUGUUUAUGACAUGUUUUACCCAUCACCCUUUGUCAUGGCCGGCCAUUAGUAAUUAAAUGGGGGAAAUUGACAUGCAAGUCCACCCCUUUGAUUACAUGCACUAAUAGAUCCUUAUAGAUUAACCUAUCACAUUUCAAAAGUGUCACACAUAAGUCCUAUUAACUAAAUUCACAUGCAAUUAACUAAAUCAAAGCUUAAAACUUUCACACAUUCAUAUUCACAUAUUUUAGGCAAUAAUUAUCAUAUUCAAAUAAUUUGGUGACUUAGUUUAGCGGUCCCAAAACCGCUUUCCGACUAGGGUCACUUUAGGGGUGUCACAAAUUUUAUCGUUUGAAUGCUUAAUUCGAUAAAAAGGACUAAAUCACGUAAAGUGCAAAAGUGAUGUUCUAUUAGCUAAAGGUGUCUAAUAGCUAUAGAACCUUAAAGUAAAGGUCCUUAAGUGGUAAUUAACCCAUUUGAAAGUUAGUGGAUGAUAGUGGCAUGGCAAUUGGUGUAAUUAUUAAAUGUUUUAAAGGUUAAAUAAGUAAAUUAGUUAAUAAAGGUUAAUUAAAACAAAACAAAUUCAUAAUUUUUGUCCAUCUUCAUGCUAAUAGCCGAAUUUAACAAAGGAGAAAGCCAUUCUUAGGCCUUAAAGCAUUCGACCAACUCCUAGCUUAAUUGCAAGUCCGUUUUUGCUCGAUUUUUAAUGAUUUAUAUGUUUUUCUGAUAGUUGCAACUAGUACUAGCUAGCCCAGGGACUAUUUUGAAAAACUGUUAGAGAUUUUAAAUGAUUCCAUUGAUGAAUACAUGUGUAUUUUGAAGUUUCUUAAUAGAUUAUGAAUGCUUGUUGAUAGAUAUACAAGUUUUGUUAAGUGAUUUUUAGUGAAAAUGCAAAAUAGGGAUUAAAUUAAAAAAUGUUGAAACUUGAUGGUUAAAAUGUGAAAUCAAUGAAAAAUAUGGGCUGUUAGGGGUACAAUAGUAAUUCGGCUAAGCAUGGGUGUUUUAAAAUUUGCAUGAAUUUGUGAUUUUGUGUAAUAAGGACUAAAUUGUAAAAAUGUGAAAGUUUAGGGGCUAAUUUGUAAAAUAGCUUAAACGUAUAUUUUGGAUUGAAUUGAAUAAAUAUAUGAUUAAAUGAGUUGAAUUUGAUAUUAUAUAGAUCAAGAAAAAUUGAAUUUGGAAUUGGAUCUGAGAAAAGAUAAAGUAUUCGAUUAAUCGACAAUUUCAUUGUUAUUAAAUUGAGGUAAGUUCGUAUGUGAUAAAUUUCACUAUAACAGUAUUUUAAUUGCUUUGAUAUAUUAUAAGUUGUGAAUACGAGACUUCGGGUAAGUUCGACAUUAACUCUAUGACAAUUCAACAUCCGAAAUCCUGGUUGAACCUUGGGAAUAGUUUAGGAUACUAGUGACAUGUCAUUAGGGGAUAUGUAACAUCCGGAUUUUGGGCCUAGUCAGAAUAAUGGUUUUGAGACCACAAAUUCAAAGUAGAAAUAAUUAUUUUAUGAAUGUGUUGAGGUCUAUGAUAUGUUUGCAUGAUUGUAUGAAACUUCAGUUAAGAAAUUUUGUUGAUAGAGUGUCCAAUUUGAUUUUUAGGACUAAAUUGAAAAAGUUGCAAAAUAUGUGAUUCUAGAAGCUUUAAGCAUGGAAUAGCUAUGGAUUAUUAAUUAGACGCCCUUAAAUAGCAAUUUAACCAAUUUCUAUUUUUAUGGACAAAAAUGGGCAUGAAUAAGUAAAAUUGAAGGUUUAGUAAAAAGGGCAUUUUGGUCAUUUGGUUAAUAAAAGAAUAGAAAGGGAAAAUUAAUUCAAAAUUUGCUCAUCUUCUCCAUGCCAUAGCUGAAAUUCCUAAGGUCACCUUAGCUAGGGUUCUUCAACUUUCAAGCUUGAUUGUAAGUGCAUUCUAGCCUCGUUUUUAAUGUUCUUUACAUUUUUGAAGUUGUUGUCAACUGAUCUAGCCAUUUCUACCGUUUAUUUGAGCUUGAGUUGAUGUCUAAGGUUUGACCCAUAAGUGACAUGUAUGUAUUUUGAUGUUUCAUGGUAGAUUAUGAAAGUUUGAUGUGUAAUAAACAACCUUUACUAGGUGAUUUUUUAUGAAAAUACCUAAAAUAGACCUAUUUGUACAAGUUGUAAAAUGUGUAGUAAAAAUCUGAUUUGAUGAAAAAUGUGGGCUGAUAUGAGCAUGUGUGUGGGUCGGCUAGGCUUGAGUAACAAAGAAAUUGAAUGCAUUUCAUUUGACGAGCCUAAGGACUAAUUUGUAAAUAUGUGAAAGUUUAGGGGAAAAACUAUAAUUUUUCGAAAGUAUGGUUUUUGGAUUGAUUUGAACAAUUUGGUAAUUAAAAGAGCUAAAUUUGAUAUUACAUAUGAAGAAAAACAGAGUCCAAACCUAGACCGGGGAAAGAACAAGGUUGUGGACUAAAUCGAGUUAGUUAGCUAUAUUUUGUACUGAGGUAAGUUCAUAUGUAAAUAAUACAAUAUUAUGAUCAUAUUUUUAAUGCAUUAAUAUUGUAUGAAUUGUAUAAUUGAUUCGAUGAACAAAUUCGACAAGUUCCGAAAAGAGAGAGAAAAUCCUGUUUGAACCUUAGGAAUAGAAUAGGAUACGAGUGACAUGUCACUAGGACCCAUGUGAUAUAUAUGAUUAUGUGAUUUGAGUGCUGGUCAUGUACGUCCUACCGGUGGCUAGGUAGUUCGGCAUGUGUUACGGAUGCCUGGUAGCUUGUGUGAGUAGCUCGUGUAGCUACGCCUUGACCGUCUGCUUGUGUGAGCAGACCCGUGAUUAGCUCGAGAGCGAGCAUUUAUGUGAUAUGAAAUAUGAGGUAGCUUUGGCUAUAUAUGUUGCACUUGUGUGCAAAGACCUUCUGUGUAUCCGUUUAGUAUUCCAAGUGUUCAACGGGUAUGUCAAAAACGAGAAAAAGUAUGUUAAGUCACAAGUUGGUACAGGUAUGUACGAAAAACUCAUAAGAUUGAGCUUGUUAAGUGAUGAACUUUUAGUAAGAUUAAGAAUGAUAAAGUUAUGCUUAUGAAACUAUGAUGAUCAGUAUGUGAUUUAUGCUAAGUUAAAUUGUAUGAUAUUCAUGCUAAAUGUUGCUUAAUAUUGUUUAUUAUUGCAUAUGAACUUACUAAGCUCUAUGCUUACUCCCUUUCUUUCCAUUUUCUUAUAGUAUCGCCAAGCUAGCUCCAGAAUCGAAGGACGUGGGAGCUCGAUUCACACUAUCAAAUUAAUCUUUCGGGUAUUCAUGAUUUCAUAUUUUGAGUAUGGCAUGUAUAGGGACAUGGUCUUUUUGUGAUAUGUUUCAUUAUUGAUUUGGCCAAAUGUGUUGGCUUGUAACGGUAAUUGAUUCAUUUUGUAAAUGGUCAUAUGGUAUUGGCUAAUAUUGGCUAAGUAUAUAUAUACAUAUGAUGAUGCCUUUCAUGGAUGUGGUUAUCGCAUGGUUUGUAAUUAUAAGUAUGAGAUGUUGUAUGUAAUAGAAAUUGGCAUGAAAUUGAUGUGUGGAUGUCUUGGUUGUGGCUGAAUUGGUAAUGUGUAUAUGUUUGGAUUGGUGUUCUUUAAUGUUGUGUAGGUUGGUGCAAGUAAGGGUGGCAAAAAGGCUUGGUAAAUAACCCUAUUUUUGUCCACACGGGUAGACACACGGGCAUGUGUCUAGGCUAUGUGUGAUACACGGUCUACCCCCAUGGGCGUCGGAUCCGACCGUGUGUCCCCUGCACCUUAAUUUUAGUAUCAGAAUGCUCAGUAUUGAUUACACAAGUGCGAGACACGGCCGUGUGUCUCGACCGUGUGAGAGACACGGCCUUGGGACUUAGGCAUGUUUCCUGGCCAUGUGAAGUCUGCAUCUAUUUUGUGAAAAAUUAUAGAAUUUAAUCGUCCACACGGCCUAAGCACACGGGCAUGUGCCUUGGCCAUGUGACCUCAUUUAUUACAUGACGUCAUAAACAGAGAGUUACACGGGCUAAGGACACAGGAAUGUCCUAAGCCACACGGGCAUGUGUGAUCACAUGGCUUACCCACACGGGUGUGUGACCUUCCAAAGCAUGAAAAUUUUUUUAAGUGUUGUAAAAGUUUUGAAAGUUCUCAGUUUAGUCUCGAAUCACUCCCAAUGUAUGUUUUGAGCCUCGUAGGCUCGUUUAAGGGACGAUGCGAAUGAUUUUGAAAAGUUUUAAAUUUGCAUGGAAAUUUAUGUUUUGGUUCUACAUGAUUUCUUGUGUAUAAAUCCGGUAAUACCUUGUACCCUAUUCUGGCAUCGAAUACGGGUAAGGGGUGUUACACGAUACAUGUGUUGGUUUCGGGACAUGAUAUUAGCAUUUCGGGUGCCAUUUAUACUGAUUUGGCUUCGGGCCAUGAAUAUCGGCUGGUUUUGCUUUGAGCCAUUAUAUCAGUAUUUCAAACAUAAAUUAACUUGAUUUAGCUUUGGGCCAUGGUAUAGGUACUUAGUCUGCGAGACUCCUGAGUAUCCAACUUCCCAAAAUUUGUGCUGCUAUAUAAUGCAUAUAAGGUUAAACCAUGGAUCAUACCAAUAAAAUUACUUCUUUUCAAUUUUAAUGGAAAUAGGAACAUUAAUAAAAAUAUUAUUGAAAAUAAAAAAAGGGUCACCCAGGAGUAUUUAGCCUUGCAAGGUGGUCCUUGCUGAUUCACACGGGAUUCCACGUGCCCCAUGCUACUCGGGUCAGAGCGUAAGCUAGUGAUGCUUUCGGCUACUGGACUAUCGCCAUCUAGGGUUCGGCACUUCACCGCUUCGCCUAGCAGCACGACGCUUUUAUUGCUCUCCCACAACCCCAUUUUCACGGUUUAGGCUGCUCGGCAGAACAACUCAAAAGAUAAAGAAGUAUCGUUAAUUUCUUCAUGCUCGUUCCAAGCUAGAAGUACCAUUUGUACAAAUAAGAAUCCCCUUCGUUACAUGAUUUCUUC